AGCGCCGUACCUGGGCACCAAAGUCACCACCACACUCUCAUCAUCUUCAGCACCCAAAUCCUCCAACAGGUCCGUUAACCCCAACCUUAAACAACUCUUGCUCUUUUCCUUCUGCUUAUGUGGCACACUCACAAAACUCCCAGCAAACUCGCUCUUGUCGGGUCCACUCGGUGCCGCAUCCUCAUCGUCCACGUCAUUCACAUACACAUCAAACUUCACAGCCACAUCUUUGUCAAGCUCAAUCCCCUGAAUCACCAAUAUCUCCUCCUCAUCCUCUUUCUCCUUCUUGCUCCUCUUCUUCGGCUUCGGCCUUGACACCACCGUACUUAUCUUCGUCUCCAAAUUUAUUGGAAAAUCUUUACCCGCCACCACCUUCCCUGAUGACGUCGUCUCAGCGGCCUUCGCCACUCCAGCCGCCUUUGCCUUUCUCGCAAGCUUUGUCCGACGUGGCGUCGGUCUAGACUUGAGCCAUGGAAUCUCAACAUCUUCAUACGUAUACCCUAGCUUUUUAUUAUCAAGAGUGUCCCUCACCGUGACCCUAACAAGCUCAGCAUUCUCGUCAUAAAACAAAAACCCCGUAUCCAACCAAUCCUUAUCGUUAAUAUCUUUAUUUUUAGUCCCUAUACUUUUCCAAAUAUUCCACAUUCGAUCUAUAUUCGAAUGGUGCGAAAAAAAUAUUGGAUCCCUUCCAGCGGAGUAAAAAUUCCCCAUGUCUUCAAAUUAGGUUGCGUGUUAUCUCCGGUCCAUAAAUGAACCGGACCAUGUGGGGUCGUUUCGAUUGAACCGCCCCCUGGAUCUGGUUCAGUGCCAGCCCUGUAGGGCGAACCAAAGAACAACAGCGGUUUCUUGGAGUUGGAAACCAUCUGCCUAUACAUAAUUUUGAGGUUGGCUUCGAUUUGAGCAUCGUUGGACAUUGUUUCAUCCGUGCCGUUGAAGUCAAGAUCGAUGAGAGUCGGCGGCUGAUGGCUGGCAGCGCGAAGCUCGUCGUAAAGCGGAGAGUCCGGGUUAGCGAACAAGGCAGGGAGUUGCAUGCCAGCUGGCGCGUCCCAGUUCCAAAACGGCAACGCGAACGUCGGAUCGUCUAUGAGUUUGGCCAAGAUUCUUUCGUGGAAGUAUAGGUAGUAACGAUGGAAGGGGAAGAAAAGCCAGCAUUGAUGGAUUUGGAGCUCGAGGUUGGGGAAGCCGACUUGGUCGUACGCGCCGUCGCAAUAGGCACAGUGGAGAUCGGCUUGCUGGGUGAAGCUACGCGGAUCGUCGUCCGGGAGGGCUUUCAUGAGCUCGAUGGCUUUUGAAUAUUUUUCGAUGUAGGCUUUAUCCACGGUGUGAGCUGCCGGCCUGACGCGGAGUUUGGUAGGGGAGGGGAAUUUGAAGUCUACGAUUUUUUGGGACGUUGGCGGGCAACAGUUGGUCGGGACUGCUCCACUUGGAAAGUCCGCAGCUCCGCAUUUGGCUAGGUCAGGCGGCGACACUGGCUUUGCAACAGCGAAGGGGUCGCUGCCAAGACCAGCCACUCCACCGUAUAGGCUUCCGAGACCUAUAAGUACAUUUCUUCUGUCUAGGUUUACUGGAGAAGGGUUUUCAUGGUCGUGAUCGUUGGAGCUAGUGGAAGGGUUUUUGUUUUGGUCACUACUAUUAUUUGUGGCUUUGCAUGAGACAGCUUGUAAAUUGGAAUGCCUAGGGUUUCCAAAUGAGGAUAUUCGGUGAUACUUUUGGGAGAAAGGGGAGAGGAAAGUUGUGGGGAUGAUACUUGUGGCGGAGGUGACGAGUGGAGCUGACAUAGAAGCCAUGGUUACUUUUGACUCUGAAUAAUACGUUGUAUUGGCUUUGCUUUUAUAAUGUGUUCUAGGUUGUACUUUUCUUUGCACAGGUGGCAGGCCGUACACACGUGGUCGGUCCUUAAGGGUUUGACGAGGAAUACUACGUAGUCAUUUAGUACAGGACAACCAUACACUAUAGCAAGUGGCAUGUAUUUAGAGAUCGAGAGAGAAUUGGGUAAGGUUCACGAGGGAUUUGUAGUUUCAGAAGGUGAAUUGGUUUUGGUCUUCUUGUGUACCAAUAAUAUUUACUUAGUCAUUUAGUGCAGGACAACCAUGCACUAUAGCAAGUGGCAUGUAUUUAGAGAUCGAGAGAGAAUUGGGUAAGGUUCACGAGGGAUUGUAGUUUCAGAAGGUGAAUUGGUUUUGGUCUUCUUGUGUACCAAUAAUAUUUACUUAGUCAUUUAGUGCAGGACAACCAUGCACUAUAGCAAGUGGCAUGUAUUUAGAGAUCGAGAGAGAAUUGGGUAAGGUUCACGAGGGAUUGUAGUUUCAGAAGGUGAAUUGGUUUUGGUCUUCUUGUGUACGGCUGUGGGUCUGCUGUCCCGGACUCUCUGUCUCAUUUGUGUCUUAUUUUUUAUUUUUUCACACGUGUCUUUUACUUAACGUCAAAUCAUGAUAGCAAUGUUAUGCAAUUGGGAGCUAAACGACCGAUGCUUUUAUUUUUUAGUUUGCUUUUUUUCCAGAUCUGAUCAAAUCAUGAUAGCAAUGUUAUGCAAUUUUCAAGAGGGAAAGAUGCACCUGGGAGAGAAACGGUACGGUGACUUCUAAAUCACCGUCCAACAGAACAAUUCUCAGUAGAGACUACUAGAGAGAGAUGCACCUCACCAAUGAAAAAUUUAACUGCAAAAAUUCUGGGUAUUGGGUAAGGAAAUUCGGUGAUACUUUUGGGAGAAAGGGAAGAGAGAAGUUGUGGGGAUGAUACUUCUCGUGGAGGUGACGAGUGGAGCUGACAUAGAAGCCAUGGUUACUUGACUCUGAAUACUACGUUGUAUUGGGUUUGCAUAUAUAUAUAAUUAGGAUUGAAGGAUGUAGAGCUUAUUUUGUUAUGUAUUUUAACGAUUUAAGUGCUUAUCUUUUAGGUUUUCUCUUAAACAUCAUGUCUAUAAAAAAUCACCAAAAUUCAAACCAUAUGACCAUUAGAUCCAUAGUCAUUUUAGUGUUUAUUUGUAAAAUGUAUUCAUUCAUUUUCUUCACUACAAAUGAGUGAAUUAAUGAUUUUAGAAUUUGUCUAAUUUUUUACAUUGAUUAUUUAUGAAUGUUGAAUUGAAAUUUAGACGAUUCAAAAAUAGUUGAUAUGCAUUACAAAAUGAACUCCACAAAAUAAGUGUCAAAAUAUGUAUAAAAAAUGGACAGCGUGAAUGGCUUGGAAAUUGGAAUAGGUUUGAAAAUUGUGCUUUUUGUAGCAAAUUUUAGCAAAGUUUGCUUGGACUUUCACAACCGUAUAAAUUAAAGGGAAACUUGAUAUAACUCCAAUUUUUUGAGCCAAUAGUAGGAAUAGUCCAGUUUAUUAAAAUAAGUUCAAUUCUUUAAAUUUAAUUAUUUAGUUAUCAAUAAUUAUCUCUUAAAAGAAAAAACUUAUUGUAAAAAUCAAAUUUCUUCCUAAUUAUCUCUUUGAUUAUUUCUUUUUAUUUAUUUAUUUGUUAUUUCUUGUUCUUCCUCCUGCUUUAACCCAUUUAUAGAUUUUUUUUUUAAUUUUAUAAUCAACCUAUGUCACAGGUUAAUUGUAUUUAUCUACCUAUAUGACAUAUUCUUUUUCAUAGUCAACAUUUCACAGAUUAAUGUGUCUUGCUUGUAGAUAUAUUAUGUUUUUUUCUACCUUUUAGUUAGGUUUCAUAUCUCACUUAUAGGUAUAAUAUACAUUCAUAUAUUUGCUACUUGAGUUAGGGUAGAAUGUUUUGCAGAUAGAUUUAUGUUAGUAUAUUAAUUUUUUUUUGUUUAUAAGAUAUUAAUUAGAUAUUUUGGAGUUGAAAAAUGCAUAAUAUUAAAAGCUUUUAAUUGAUUUUUAAUAUUUUUAGAAAAUAUAAAAGGAGUAUAAAAGAAAUCAAAACAUAUAAUUAGAUAACGGGAGUCACUCCUAAAAACACUCUAUGUUUUUUGACCUGGAUCUUAAAGCCCCUAAAUUAAACUGUUCGCUUUGUUGGGAAAAAGAAGUGGCCCUAGUUUCCCUUUGAUUUUUCAAGCACGGUGGGAGACUGGUCAUAGUUUCUAGAUUGAUGCUCUAAUUCUAAUGUUAUACAACGCGUACGCUAUAAUAUUUUUAUCAAAAUAUUAGUUUUAGUGUUAUCAAAACAAUAUGUUAUUCUUACCAUGUUUUUGUAUCACAAUUAUAUACCACCUUAGAUGGUAUCUGAUGUGGACAGCCACAUCAUUUAAAUUAAUAAGCAUUUAAUUUCAAAAUGUUAAUCAAUAAUUAAUAAAAAGAUUGUUAAUUAAAUGAUGAUUGUGGUAUACAAGGAGUCUCCUUCUUCCUUCCUCUUUCCAUUCUGCUUUUUCUUCUUACCUCUUUUUUUUUUUUAAUGCCAGUUUUGUAUUGAUUUCUGUUGAUUUCCAUGAUUAUGGUCAAUCUUUAUAGAAUUUACUAGUAUGCCACAAUCACCAUUGAUUUCUAUCUCCAGACUCAUGCCCCGUAGCCCUAAUCCUCAUUCCCCUUCAAGUAUUUCUGUCUCCAAUCUUCUUUGGUACUCCAUGAUUGUUCAUCUCGUGAUAUUUUUUUUUUUGAUUAUUUCAUUAAGUAACGCUUAUUAGCUUUCAUGCGAAUUAGGAGUCAAAAUCAAAUUUGUCUAUCGGAUUAGGGUUCAUACCCAAUUAAGUUACUAACGCCAGAGGGAUUUUGAAGUAUGCAAUUUUCCUUAUUUAAGUGUUUUAAUUAAUAAGAAAAUUGAAAUUAAACAAUUUAGCUUGUCCAACUCAUCUGCCACCUAAGAUGGUAAAUAAAUGUGGUAUAAAAUUGUGGUAAGAAUAUCAUUACUCUUAUCGAAAUUACAAAAAAAAAAAAAAAAGCUGAUUCAAUAUUUAGUUAUUAAAAAAAAAAUGAUCAAGUAACUAUCCAAUACCCAUGUAUUGGGUGCUUUGUUUGAAAAUUUUCAAAAUGAUAUUGGGCUCGUUUGGAUAUGUUUUUAAAAUGACUGAAAGCAUUUUUAGAGAAAAUAUUUUUUUGAUUCCAAAAGCACUUAAAGUGCUUUCUGCAAGAAGCACCCGUUAUGUGCUUCUUCCUGGAAGCACUUUAAGUGUUUUUCCAGCAUUUACUUGCUUUUUUACUAAGGACUGGUUCCAAAAACAUUUUCACAAAAAGUGUUUUCAGUCAUUUUAAAAGCACAUUCAAACGAGCUCAUUGUUUUUCCUAUUUUAAUCGAGUGCGUCGUCCUCUGUUGAGAAUGAAUCUCAUAUUAUGGGAGGAGGGAUCUUGCAUGAAUGGGAGGAGGGACCUUGCAUGAGCUUAUAAGUAAGUUGGGUUACUCUCCAUAUUGCCAAAAGAAAUUUUAUUUGGACCCAGUUUUCCUCUCUCUAAACCCAACUUUAAUAUUUUGUUACCUAUAAACUCUCUAGUUUACCCUCAUAAAUUAUAAACAUAAAUAAACUAGAAAAAGAAAAACUCAUCAAACCCAUUUCCCAACUGUUCUGGCGUCUCUUCCCUGUAUUUGUUGGGUCUGUCUCCCUCCCGACUGUUUUUUUUUUUCUGAUAUCUCUGUGUGUUCCCCCACCUCUCCCACACCCACCAAUUCUUUGUGGUGGCUAUUCCACCAAACGUCCAGUGAAUCUUUCCAUUUUUCUUCUAUUGCGCGUGAUAGGGCCUUGCUAUUAAUAGGCAAAACUAAGCGGCAUCGUCGACUCCGUAAGCGACUUGUUGCAUAAGUCCAAAAUGGAGUCAAAUGGAUUUUGUAUUGGGUCGGGUUGUUGAAGGCGAUGGCUGAUUUAGCAAUCCCGCCUAACUAUUUCUAUAUGUAGGAGAAGGAAGAGGGAGGGAGGUCUGAAGUGGUGGUUGAGUGGUGGCGAUGUAUGUGGGUUCUCUCUCGGUUGAAUGGGUGUAGAAAGAUAUUUAAUUUUCAAUAUCUUAUUUUAUUUUGUAUAAGGGAUAAUAUAGGAAUUACAUAAAAAGUUUUUUUUAUAGCUAGGUGUAGAAAUAGUAUUGUUGGGUCUAAAUAAAAUUACCCUAUUGCCAAUUAGUUUUAUGGUGAAAUCUUAACUUUGUUCAUGCUUUCAUAGUAGGUUGUUCCACGUGUGAAGUCAAACAUCCACACGCGCUGCACGUCACCCCGUUGUGUUGUUCACGUGUUAAGCUUGAAAAUUCAUCACACAUGAGGGAGCGUGUUGAGAAUAAAUUCCACAGUUUAUAAGUAAGUUGUACUACUCCGUAUAUUACCAAUUAAUUUUGUGGAAUUCCGUCAAAGCUGAAUUUGACGGAAAAAAAUAACUUCAUGUUUGUUCUUAACUAUAAAGUCAGUGAUACACUAAUUCUGGUUUGUUUGUUUUUUCCUUCCUUCUUAAGGAAAUUCCCAAUCCAACCAAAAAAAUGAAAUUCCCAAGAGAAUAGUAGCACGAACAAUCGUAGCUUUCUUCUUCGAUAAGCCUUGGGGAAACAGAAAAGGGAAAACCGGACUUUAACCCUAAUUUCUCCCAAUGCCGCAGCACUCUCUAUUUUCUCUCUCGCUCUAUAUCGCGGUCCCUCUCUCUCGCCGUCCUCUAUUGCUCAAACUCAAUGUCUCCAACUUCCUCUGUAUGGUUCCCGAGGAAGAUGGUAAAACAGUAAGGGCAAGAAAUUGUGACAAGGUUAGAUUUGGGUAUUAAUCUGGUGGGGCUACAAUUCUCCAAUCCACACCCCUUUCAUCUGUGCUAGUGUUUGAACCCAAUAUUAGAUAACCGGUCCAUGCAAUCGAUGCCGUUGAAUGAGAAAAAUUCUAGGCCGUGGGAUCAAAUAUAAUGAUGUGGAUUAAAUAAGGAAAAUUUAAAGAGUAAUGAUAUUCAUACCAUGUUUUUGUACCACAUUUUCAUACCACCUUAGGUGGCAUUUGAUGUGGAUAGCCACAUCAUUUGAAUUAAUCAGAUUUUAAAAUUUAGUUGAUUAUUUAAUAAACUAAUAAUUAAGAAAAACUAAUUAAUUAAAUGAUGAUUGUGAUAUACGAGGAGUCUUUCUCGUUCAUUUCUUUGGGUUUUGCAAAUUUUUCAAAUGAUGUGGCUGUCUACAUCGGAUGCCACCUAAGGUGGUAUAGAAAUAUGGUAUAAAAAUAUGGUAUGAAUAUCAUUACUCAAAUUUAAAUGUUUAUCUUGGUUAAAUUACCAUGAUAAUAUUGUGGAAUUAUCUUUUGCAUAACGGAAGAGCGAGAAAAGUCCAAGGGUGUAGGGAAGUUGUGUGGUUGACUACCGCUAUUUUGAUGGUAUAAUCUGUAGAGUAAUAUUACAUUUAACAUCUAUUUGUAUCAUAUUUCUAAUAAAGAUAAGGACCAUCAAUGCAUAAAUAAUUAAACAAAUAUAUAAUAAGAGUAUCAUUUUUGUAACUAGAAUAGGAGAAGAAAGACUUCAAGAUGGGAUCAGCCAAAUAAUUAGCGUUAAGAUAAAAAUAUUGAAAGGAAAACUAAUGAAAAUGGCUUGAAAACUUUGAGUUUUAACGAUAAGGACAAGAUAAAGGGUAAAGUGAAUAGUACCAGGAUUGACUUUUUAAUGUAAAAAUAUAGUUUUUCGUUAAAGUGAACAUUACCGGGAACUUUUCGUUAAAGUUUCCAAUGAGAUAAUAUUGCAACAGCUGGCAUGAGACAAUGAUGGUAUAAAGAUGGCUACUACGGCCAAACUACUACAUAGGAUUCCAUACAUGCGGUCAUUAUUUCGACAAAUCAAUGGCUGCCGCAAUCAUGUGCUCAUUAUUCCGACAAAUCAGUAGCUACUUGCAUUGGAUUAGGAUUGCAUGCGUGUGGUCAUUGAAUGAGGAUUGCGUGCACGUGAUCUUUAUUCAAACAAAUCACUAUUGACCAUAUAUUGCAAUUGGUUAAUGGUAGGCAAAUUGAAUUUUUACAUCAAAUAAUGUGAUUGCUGAUAAUUGAAUUAUUAUUUAAAUGUUGAUUAAUAUGCUUAUUUUUUAUUUGUGAUAUAUCAUUUAAUUUGUACAUUUAGUUUACCUAACAUUACCAACUGUAAUUUGUAUAAAUGGACUGGUACCUAACAUAACCAGUUGUAAUUUGUAUAAAUGGGACUGUAAUUUGUAUAAAUGGACUGGUGCCUAACAUUACCAGUUGUAAUUUGUAUAAAUUUACUGGUCCCAAGAGCACAUGCUACUGCUCAAGAAGCAAAGUUCUUAUUUGCCCAAAAAAAAUCAUGGUUUUUUAAUUGAUGCUCUCAUUUUAAUUUACUAGCCCCUUACUUGGCCUUUUUUAUUUAUCAUUUUAUACAUAUUAAUAUUUUUUUGUAAAAUAUAUUAGUUUGAGUUUUAUUAAAAUUAAAAAUAAAUAAAAAAACUUAGUUUUAGUUUUAUCAAAUUAAAAAAAAAUGACUUAAUAUUUAGUUAUUGAAAUUGUAAAAAAGUGAUCAAGUAUUGGGUGCUUUGUUUGAAAUUUUUCAAAAUGAUAUUGUUUUUACCAUUGAAACCCUGUUAUAUACAGUGAUGGCUAAUUUGUCAAGUUCUACGAAGUUGGGAUACCCAGCGUUUUAGCAUAUAACAUAGCUUAGUAUUACAAGCAUAAUUAAUUAAAAUAAAGGCAAAAUAAGAGGAUAGCUUAGUAUUACAAGCAUAAUUAAUUAAAAUAAAGGCAAAUUGUAACAGCCCGUCCCUAAAAAUGACGAUUUUAUAAUCUUAACACGUGAGUUUAUGAAGAUGCCCUUCGAGGCAAAGUGUUGACUACCGCGUCGUGUCAUGUGAGACUCAUCUUCUUGGCGUAUUCUCGUUUUACUCGUCGCUACGGAUGCGUGGGCGCAAACGACACGUGAUUUGGAGCUAUAACAAAAGAGUUAUUAACAUUUAAAGUUAAGGACAUUUUAGUAAAUUAAUUAAUUUCAGAUUUUGUUGAGGGGAAAAUCUGGAGUGCCAUGUGGGUGGCCCAGAUUAAAGGAAAUGAGGAAUGGAUGGUGGAGGUGUAAAGGAAAGAAGAUAAAAGAAAAAUGAGAGGAAAUGUGUGACUAAUAGGGAGAUGAGAGAGUUAGGAUGGCCCAAUUAGAAACAAACGAAAGGAGGAAAAAGGAGAGAAGAGGGGAGCAGGGGAUCCCUUCAACCCGGUUCCACUUUCCGACCCGACCCGAUCCUUUUCAUCUUUUCCGGUGGUUUUUCGUCAGUUUUUCCGGCGAACCACGUUAUCUAACCCCGUUGAAAAUGUUCCACGACCUUCCCUCUACCAUUACAACCCAAAAUUGUAGAAAUUUAGCCAUGAAAGUAUGAAAACCGCACCGGUGGGUGCGGGAAACCUUUGUCGUCGAUUCUCCCAUUAUUGAAACGAUUUUCACCAAUUAUCACCACCUACAGCAUCCUCUUGAGGUCUGGAAUAAAGCCCAAACAAGUUUUGGGGCGUUGGAGUUCGUUUAAGGUCGAAUUGAGCACACCCAAAUUCAAGGGUUCCGUACCGUUCAUGGUGAUUUGAGGUGUUUCUCGGCCAAAUUGGCCUUAGUCACAAGUAUGAAAGUUGCUCCACUCGUUGAGAUCUUCAUUUAUGUGAAAUUUGAGAAUUUUUUGAAAUAUUUGGAUUUUCCAGCGAGUCGGGGUGGCGGACCGCCACCGGCAGCAGCGCAUGGCCAGUGGUCCACCAAUGUCAUUUUACGUUAAAUUGAUAUCUUGAUUUUAGAUUUGAUGUCUAUAUGUUAUGACUUGAUUAUGUGAACCUAGUUUGAUUAAGGUGCGUUAAUUGGUAAAAAUAUGAAACGACGAUCCGACCGUGGGAUCGUCACCAAACUUUAAUAUGUUAUAGUACAUAAUAUUUGAGAAUCAUAGGGACUGACAGAUAGGAAAUCCGAGAUACAGAUCUUCCCGAAAUGGAAUUGUAAGUUUGAAGAAUAAACGUUAACCGCCACUUUGUUUUGACUAUUGGUGGAGAUCCAACCGUUGGAUCAUAAUGAAAUUUUAGGAUGAUGUUUUAGAAGCAUAAUGUGGAUCUUUGGAAGUUACUGAUCGGAAAUCCGAGGAGUGAAUCUUCCGAAUUGAAUUACGUAGGGUUGUGGACCUUACCGUCGAUCGUUGACCGAUGAUCGACUUUUGGUCAAUGGGGCUUAAAUCAAUCUAAAACGUUUUUAGGGAUGUGUUUUACGUAAAUUACAUGAUCUAUUGAUAAGAAUUAUGAGAUGUGGUUUGAUAAUUGUCCUAGGUGCCGAUCGUUAGGAACGCUUCGAUGGUUAUGCUAGGAAAUUGUAGCACAGACUCCUUGUGAGUGAAUCUUUUCCUUCUUAUCAUAUAUAUAUAUAUAUAUAUAUAUAUAUAUAUAUGAUUGACAAUUCCACAAACGUUUAUAAAUUGAUUAUUGCAUAUAACUACUGUGAAUACUUUGAAGUACUUAUGCGAACUACGAAUGGCUUGAUCCGUGUUUAGGGUACGUAGGCAGUCUAACAAGACGUUAGAUGUAGUCAUACAAUAAUUGAGAUUAAACAAUUGAGAUAAAGCCUUGUUUGGGGAACUGGGCAAGGUGAAGGAAUUUGGUAAAAAGGUGAGAUUUAACCUUAUGAAUUGGUGAUUAAAUGUUGGUCAUAAAUCAAUGUGUAAAGAAUCAAGAAUUUGAAGUAAGGAAACGUAAGUAAUGAUAAUUAAUUAAACUAGUGUCUAGUUGGGCUUGUCACCUAUAAUUAUCCCCGAAAAUGAAUAAUUCGGGAGUAGGGCGUUACAGCUUCUGCAUUUUUAUGCCACAUUAUAUAUAUAUAUAUAAUUGGAAAUGCUAUAACAUGGUUGAGUAUCAGAUUUCAUCAUGGUUUAUCUAUAUGUAUAUUACCUGCACACAAUUAUUAUGAACGCGUUGAAGUGCAAAGGUGAAUGCACGACACCCAGGUAAGUUCAGGUGAGUUUAUGGUAUUAGUUGAAAUGAUGGGGUUAUGGUAUGACUACAUGUAUGUUUAGGUUGCAAUGAUAGGCAACUCCAACACUGUCGUACAGGUUGCCCAUGAAUUGUACAUGUUACAAUAGAUACAGUUAGAGCUCAUAAACCUACACCCCGGUGUUAGUACUCCCGCUCGUGGCCAGGGCACAGUCCUUCACGUGAUGUUCACCUCCCGCACCUUACGCUCACCUUGGAUCCAAGGUAGGUGCACAAUCAUGUCGUACCACUAUAGGUGGUUCCGACUCGUAGAUGACCCGCGAUUAUUUGCACAGUCUUCACGUGAUUGUAGCACUUGAGCGUAUUUAUUUACACCCAGUUCUAUUGUACAGACCACUUUAGGUGGUUCCGACUCGUAUGCAGGUAUACUUAUUAAGCUAUGGAUAAGUCGUACAGGUCACUAGAAGUGACUCCGACUUAUGAGCUAGCAUAUGUGAUGAGCUAGCAUAUGUGAUGAGAUAAGUGAUGAGUUAGUAUAUGUAAUGAGAUAUGUGAUGAGCUAGCAUAUGUGAUGAGAUAUGUGAUGAGCUAGCAUAUGUGAUGAGAUAUGUGAUGAGCUAGCAUAUGUGAUGAGUUAGCAUAUGUGAUGAGCUAGCAUAUGUGAUGAGAUAUGGGUAAGUCGUACAUGUCACUAUAGGUGACUUCGACUUGCGUGCUAGUAUGGGUUAUUAAUCACAUGAUUAUUGAUAUUACUGAUGAGAUGCUGUGUUGUGGUAUAUUUAUGAUCUUUCUGGAAACUAUGCAAGUGUUGUAACGAGGGGUUAUAAUGAGGUGUUGUAACGAGGGGUUAUAAUGUUUUAUAUGGUUUCUGUUAAAAUUUUAUUUCUAGGGUCACUCACCCUUAUUUUGUUUUCACCCUCUAGGUUUUAUUAGCUGAGCUUUCUUAUCGUCGAAGAUUCGUGGCGAUUCUUAGUAUUGGAGAUUAUUUCGAGAGUACGAUUCUUAAUUCACUUUACUGUACUUGCUUAAGCUGUAACGUCACGUGUGAAGUGGGUUCAUUUCCGCUUACCAGCGCAUUCUGGUAUUUAGGCACUCUUAGGUUUAAAUUUAUUCACAUUUUUCCACAUCAUCAAACUUUAUGGCUUUGUCACUCUUUAGGUGUCGGCCAGCACAGCUCGAUUUGGAGUCCUAGUGGACAUUCCGGGUCGGGGUGUGUCACAAAUGAAGAGGAUGGUUGAACUUGUUAAGUUUCUUAAGUGUGUCUACUUGAAGUGUGUUGCUAAUAAAUAUUUUGUUGUAGGCAUAAUUUACUGAACAAUUAUGGAGGCAGAGAGAGAGAGAGGGAAUAUGCGGCAUAGAGAGAGAAGAGAGAGAUGUGUAAUUGUGAGGUGUGUUCUAUUCCACCCCAUUGUACCUUUAUUAUAUUAGUAGGGAAAGUUAAUUCCUUACCCUUUUAGGAUUACAACUCUAAUAGGAAAAUAUCUAGUCUAAGAGAUAUGAUAGAAUCUCAUAAGGAUAUCCUAGAUAUGUUAGGAUUUACACAAUCAUAUUCCUAUUCCAAUAAGACUGCAACACAUUUGUAUUUUUUUAGAAUUUUUUUGAUAAUUUGUUGGUAUUCUCAAUUUUUGUUAACAUUGAAAAUAUAACGGUUCAGAUGAAAAACCUUUGGAAAUCCAACAGCUUGCAAGACGUUGGGCUGUGCUGAAGGAAGCUGGGCUGUCACGUGGAUGGGGCCCUCCCUCUCCCUCUUGUUGAUUCAAAGGGCGCAGGCCCGUGCAACAAUUGGCGAGGCAGCCCAUAGAGAUCCUGCGAUUCACCCAUUCGCCAUUUUUUCCACCGCUGGAGCACCAAAAUUCGGUCAAAAGGCAGGGGUAUCAAUGGCAAGGGCAAUUUGGCUUCCGCUGGAGGUGCUCUUUGUCGACUUUGUUUUUUCUCUCAUUUUAGCUUUUGCAGUAAUAUUGAAGUAAUCACUCCAAUUUUAUCCAAACUUUUGUUGUCCGUCAAUUUUUAUCAAAACUAUUGGUUAAUUUACAUAUUCAGACUAACCUUCUCAUUAUUUUUAGUAUUUUUAUCAUAAAUAAUAUCUGAAAUAGUCACAUUUUAUUCAACAACCACUCAAUUAAAAAUUAAUUAGUGUUGUUUCUAAACCAUUACAUCAAGCUUUUGUAGAUACACAUCAAUAUUGCAGCGAUCCGAGGCAUUGUUUUAGUGACGGUAGUACUUUCUACUCCUUGGAUUUGGUGAAUCGGAAAAGAGAAGAGUUACGAGUAAAAGUCCCUCGCAUUGUUUUGGGGAGAUGAAGAUGAUGAUCUUUUGUUUUUGUUUUUUAAUGAUUAAUCCACGCAGCAACAUAUAAUUAAAUUGUUGGGAUCUACUCAAGUUCCAUAUCACACACUAACAUAAAAUUUGACAAACGAAACGAAAUAUGUGUGUAGACAUCGAAAUUUCGUAAAUAAAUGUUGACCGAUAAAUCAAAGUGUCAACGCUCAUGUAUUACAUAAAUUUUACACGUAGCGUGUGACUCAACGAAAAUUGAAAUGAGUUGGAAAAGUCAUCAAAUAGGACACGUGUCAACACCUGGCAGAAACGACUUAUUUCAUCUGGGAUAUUAUAUUCAAAAUUAGCCAUUGGAAAAUUCUAUAAAUACAAGCCCAUUUCAUUCAUUUAAGGAGAGGAAUUCAUAUUACACCUUGAAGCUCUGAAGCUCUGAAACUCCGAAGCUCUCAAGCAUCCAGGUUCCCGAAGAAUCAAGAAAGUGUUCUUCGUUCUUCGUUCAUCGUUCUUCCAAGAUCAAGCCUCGACGGCCCUUGGAUCAACAAUCAUCCACCUUCAAGAUCAAGCCCCGACGGCCCUUGAAGAAAGCGUUCUUCGUUCUUCGUUCAUCGUUCUUCCAAGAUCAAGCCCCGACGGCCCUCGGAUCAACAAUCAUCCACCUUCAAGAUCAAGCCCCAAAGGCCCUUGAAGAACUUCCACCAAUUCAAGAUCAAGCCCCGACGGCCCUUGAAGAAAGCACCAUCGUUCAUCAUCCGUUCAUCCAAGAUCAAGCCCCAACGGCCCUUUAGAUCAACAACGUCGACAAAUCCACACAUCCAACCGUUCUUCAAGAUCAAGCCCAAAAGCCCUUGAAGAUCCGUUCAUCACUGUUCUUCAAGAUCAAGCCCAAAAGCCCUUGGAGAUCCGUUCAUCACUAUUCUUCAAAGAUCAAGCCCAAAAGCCCCUUUGAAGAUCCGCUCAAAUCCACCUUCAAGAUCAAGUCCACGGCCCUUGAAGAACGUUCAUCCUUAGAUCAAGCCCAACGCCCCUUUGGAUCAAUCGCACAUCCACAAAUCAACACCUUACGGAGAUCGAAUCAGAGGAUCAAAAUAGAGAGAGAUUGUAACCCAAAAUCAUCAAAUACAAAUAUUUGUUUGUGCGCGUUGUUCUUGUCUCUUUCGUUUCAGGAAUUUUCCGUGUUCACAAUGUGCUCUUGAAAUCAAAAUGAGGGCACUGCUCCAAGAACAAGAAGGGCACCUUGUCGAGGUCGCCAUCCGCCGUGAGGGAAAACCGGAAGAAGUUGGACAACAAUGAUAACAUCAAUUUGCGGCACCCAUAUCGGGACAUCACACUGUGAAAUAAAUAUUGAAAUAAAUACUCAAAACUCCUGGAAAGUCCUCGAGACAACAAACUUUCAUCUCCUUCAAACAUUUCAUUUUACUAAGUUUUAUCUUUGAAGGGAGGGAAAAAAAGAGAAGAGAGAAUCCUACUCCUUAUUCCUGAAUAUAUUCAAGAAUAGCUAUUGAAUAAAGAGAGAAUGGAGGGUGAUCGAAAGAGGAGGGAAGAGAAUUCUAGUUCCAAACAUAAAAAGGACCACAACUUUUAAAUUAUCAGCACAAUCAUCACCUAAUUGAAGAGACCAUUCACUGUGAAACAUAUUGUCAAUCAGUCUAUCUAUAUCUAUUUAUAUACCAUAUUUUUAGAGUAAGAUUCUCUCACCUCCUAUUACCAUCCCCUUCCAUCCUUUCAUCUCAUACUCUUUUUUUGUUGUCUUAUUCUCUAUAUAAAAAAAUUCAAAACAAGAUGUAUACGUGACGUAAUCGUAACCGUUUAAAUAAGAGGGGAUAGAAGAGAAGAGAGAUUAGGAGAAGGGAGAAUCCUACUCCCACAUUUUUCUUCUUCAUAAACAAAAGAGAGGUUCUAGAUUACUUGACUCUAUGCCUCAUUUUUUUCAUCAAGUAUUUGUGAUAAGUGGGUUCAUUUUCAAGUAUUUUAGUUUUUUUGUCAAAAUUGAGAAAACUGAAAAUCAAACAUUAAUAUGAAAAAUUAAAAAAUCAACAUAUAAUUAUUUAGAAAUCGCAAUAGAAAAGAAAAAAAAUGGAGGUUUGUGAUGAAAAAUCUUUUAUACUAAGUAAUUUAGUAUCCUUAUGCAUGAAGAUAAAUCAAUUUGUUCGUUACGGUCAUACUCUUUUUUGAAUUUUUGAACACAUUCUCCAUAGGGCCUUCUUAUAUGUUCCUUCUCCAAGCUCGGGUUAUGGAAGAAGUAAAAGAAGGAAUCGAAAAGAAAGUAUUGGUAACAACCGAUUUCAUUACGAGACAACUCUUGAUAUUCAUAUCAAUCUAUUAUGUACCUUUGCAUCUAGCAUUAGACAAUAAUUGUCAUAGCUUUACCAUAUUUUUUUGUUUCAUUUCUUCUGAAACAAUCUCACACACUUUUUUAUUAUGUGUCUACUACUAGGAAUUCAAUACGUAAUCUUAGCAUUCAAUAGUUAUUCCUAAAUAAUUUCAAUUUUCAAAUGAUCAACCAUUUCAUUUUACCAAGUUCAAUCAAUGUUAGUCAGAUUAGUCAACAUUUAUAUAUUUUGAUGCAACAACAAGAUGUUAUUUGUAACAAGUGAUUUUGUUAGUUGGUUAAUUGGUCACAAGUUAAUGUUCGGUUCAGUUUAGUUUUUCUCUCGAUUUUUUGUGAUUCGGUUUUUUCAAUUCUCUUUAGGGUCGGUUCGGUUUUGUUUUUUUAUUUAUACUUGAAUUUUAUUUUAAUUUAUUUUAAUUUAUUUUAUUUUAAAUCUGGAAACACCAAGAACAACACAAGCACAUAGUCAAUCAAACAACUAUCCUUCUCCACAAAUCAUAGUAAUAAUUACAUUCAUUGAGCUGAAAUGCAAAUAACUAACAAACUCACAAAAAUCAAAUAAAAACUACAAAUUGCUUACUCUUUUUCUUUGGGUUUCACUCGAAAAGUGUCGGUAAAAUUUAGGGUUUGCAAGAACGCAACUGAAAUCUAAAACGGAGGCCUUGUGGCCUAUGGGUUGCUAUUGAGUUCCAGUACAGAGAACCUUGCUUAAUCUCGAUCACGGUACAAAGUAUCGAGUACCUUUAGCACUGUAUUUUGGUAUGAUUGGUAGAACCAAAUUAAAAGCUAACAUCAACAACAACUACCAGAGACAAAAGCUCUUAUCAAUGCUUUGGAAACAUUUAUGUAUCUCCAAGUGUAAUGAUAUAAUUGGUUGGAAACUUGUGAUUUCGUAUCAAAUCAAUAAAAAGUUACAAUAUUGACAAUAUAUUAGCAAUUUUUAUGUUAAUUAUGAACAAGUCAAUCAUGUAGAACCAAAUUAAAAGCUAACAUCAACAACAACUACCAUAGACAAAAGCUCUAAUCAAUGCUUAGGAAACACAGUCCUGUAUCUCUAGGUGUAUUGAUAUAAUUGGUUGGAAAUUUAAAAGAAAAAUGGUGAUUUUGUAUAAAAUUGAUAAAAAGUUACAAUAUUGACAAUAUAUUUGACACACCCCGACCAAGAUCAAGGCAUGCUGGCCGUCACAUGAGAGUGACGUAACCAUGUGCACAGUGCGGAAGCAAUAAUGAUAAGAAAUAUAUGAAUAAUUAAAAACCGAAUCUACUAGAGUGCACUACUAAACAGGAAGUAUUAGGAGUAAGAUACAAAAGUAAAUACUCCUAAUCAGAGCAUAGAAAGUCUAGGUGCAAUCCAGUAGGACAAGUACUAAUUAUACAGUAUAAAAUGUCUUACAAUUAUUUAGAUAGGUCAGAACCGCCGAAGUCCUCACACCCAACAACUGCAAACUUACUUAAAACCUGAAGGGGCGCAAAAUAGAAAACGUGAGUGGGAAAAAACAAAUGUUUUACAAAACCAUUUCAUUUAUCAAUAUAUCUAACCCCUCGCUGUAAACAUGUAUAAUUUUUCCCAGAAUCAAGAUAUAAGCAUAUACAUAAAUAUAUAUAUAAAUAUAUCAAUUCAAAUCAUGCUUCACAUAAUCAUAUUCAUAUGUAUGUCAUGCCAAGAUAUAACAGAGUAAGCAACUCAGGUAAGAGUAAUUUCAUAGAAAUAUAACAUGUUAGCCGGAACCCCUGUAGUAGUCUGUACGGCUGAAUUCAUAGCUCAAAAGUCAAUCUAGCCGAAGUCACUACAAUGACCUAUACGGCAAUAUACUGCACAAGAGUCGGAACCAAAUGAAAAGAUCUGUACGACAAUAAUGGGUGUUGUUGAUGCACAAAAUCAGUGAGGACUUUGGUACAACAGAAAGUGUUAAGUUUGUGACAUUCUCUAGAUUACUCCGAUCACUAGUGUGGAUAAGUAUGUAAAUGGAUAAAGACAGGGAAGCAAACACAAGAUGUACGUGGUUCACCCAGAUUGGCUACGUCCAUGGAGUAAAUGAGUUCUUAUUAAUUGUGAAGGGUUUACACAAGUAUAUAGGUUCAAGCUCUCCUUUAGUGAGUACUAGUGAAUGAUUUAGUACAAAUGACAUUAGGAAAUAUUGUGAGAGAAUGAUCUCUAUUUAUAGAAGAGAGUUUCUAGUUUCAUUCUGACAUUGACACGUGUCAUGUUGUGAUUGGCUUCUGAUGUUGACAUGUGUUGCACUAUGAUUGGCUUUAGAUGUCAACAUGUGUCGCGUUGUGAUUGGCCUCCUGGUUUGAGGGAAACUCUUCUGGCUCCUUGACGGUAUAACGUUGAUCGAUGCUCAGUAGUUUCGGGAUUGGUCAAGUAUGGUACAAACAGGUGUAAUAUAAUCAUACUCAAUACUACUCUCACAUAAUAGCUGGGUGAUAAAUCGCUAGUCACCUAUGAGUCAGAACGAUAAUAAAGGUCUGUACGAAGACUGUGCACCUAAAUUGGAUCCAAUAUGACCAUAUGGUGCGGGAUGUGACAUUAUAUACAGGCUUGUGCCAUCACUGGCGGAGCUACACCCACGGCUACAGUAGGCUGUAGCCUAGGGAGGAUUUUAACAAACUGCUGGUAUAAUAGUUUAUAUAUGAGUUUGUUGUUGCUUAUUGUAUGUAUAAUAGCCCACAUAAAUCCUGCCAAAAUUAUUAGUUAAUGUGUUUCUUAAUUUAUAAAUAAUACUUUUAUUACCUUUUAUUAUUUUAUUAUUUUUAGGCUAAAAGUAAAAAUGGUAAAUUAAUACAUAAUUAGGUUUCUCCUAUUCCCCAUGCUUUUUACCUAUUCGUUCAAAACAAAAAAAUUAAACCCUCUACCCUAAGAAAAGAAAAACUAUGAAUCACCAUCAAAUUAUUUUCUAAUGAAAUUCAACACUAGAUAUGCUCUUCAUGUCUUCAUUUAACCUAUUUCUUGAUUCAAUUGUUCAUUCCAUAUAUCUACAGCACGACUUGAAUUGGUAUCCCCUAACCUUUUUUCUUUUGGGUACUUGUUAUCAACAAAAGUGAUAAUAUUUGUUCUCUUUCUAUUGCUUUUUUGUAUGCAUGUUUUAUUUGUGUAAAAAUUAGUUGGAAAGUAAUUAAUAAACUUGUUUGGAUUAUUAGUACUUCAUGUUCCUACUUUUAUGUAGAUUACUAUAUAAUUUUAUGUAGGCAAAAAAAAAAUUCAUAAGAUUAUAUGCUAAUGAUUUUAGUUAGCCCACCCAAGAAAAAUUUUCUGGCUCCGCUAUUAUGUGCCAUAACUCUGGCAAAAUCACAAUCACCCUAAGUGCAGUUUUAUGAGUUCAACGUUAUUCUAUCACAUAUCACAUCAUCGAUAAUUCACAUAACCAAACAUAACUCACAUGAGCUUACCUGAGCGUCCACAGUACCAUAAUUAUAUAUAAUGCAUCAUAUACGAAAUAUAAAUUCAUAUGCAUGGCAUUUAAGGUAUACUUUCAUUUAAACACAUAUUUCUGGGAAAAUAUCAAGUAUAUAAAUAUAUACUGAAAACCAAAAGCCCACUCAUUGGUAUGUCGAAGGGUCGUAGCCCCCGAGUCGCCUUUGAAUACUCUCGUCCUCGUGAUAAGUCUCACCUAUAUGCGAAUUAACUAUAAAAACGUUAUUUUAGAGCACAUACAAAAAAUUAGCUAAUAACUCUCAUACAAUGCUCAAUUUUUGUAUUUGAAUAUAUCACAGUGACCUACACAACCUCAAGAUCAUCCCUAAAUUUUUACAAUAUUUUUCUGACCCCUCACGCGCUGCCACGCACCGGCAAGGGCAACGCCUUACUCGCCCCCACGCGCGGCCACGUGACAAGCAUACUGAUGGCGUCAAUCAACAUCAUCAGGAAUAUUCUAGGGAAUAUUCUGUUAAAACCCAAUGGUAACUGUUAAAGAUGACUGACGGCAUGAGCAUAUUCUGUCAACCUUGACGGAAUAUACUCCUUUCUUCUCCGAUGAGUCGUCGGUCGCCGGCGACUUCGCCGAUUUCUUGGUAAAACUUUAAAUCGCUUAUUCUUCUUCGUUUCUUCGCCAUUUUUCAUGAAAUUGGUACCAAAAUGAAGCUAAUAACAUGUAGAAUCACUUUGUAUAAGUUUCAAGGCUUAAAAUCUACUAGUUUUUCCCUGAGAAAGCUCGAUAGUUCGGCUUACCUAGAUAUGCGUCGAUCUCAGCCCUCCGACGUCCAAUUCCUUCCAACGAAGUACCCCAAGACUCGUGAGGACCUCCUUAAGCUUCCUAUAAGCUUCAAAUUCCCUGAAACACAAGAUUUUACGUAUGCAUGAACAAUGCACAAAGUCGGAGCUAGGGUUUCCACGUGAAAUCGAAGGUUUCCUUACCUGAAAAUGGUUCCUUUGAAUUCGUAUGGUUCUCACGAACACAAUGGUGAUCUUAAAACCUUCGAUCUACAAGGUUUAAGAGGGUUUCUGGGUUGGUCCGUACGAAGAAGGGAGAGAGAGAAUGAGAAUCUGCGAGAGAGAGGGCACGGGAAGGAAAGAGAAAUAAGAUAGGUGUGUGUAUGGUCCAAAAGCCACCAAUCAAAACUAAGAAAAGUCUUAGUUGUAAUUGGGUCACCAAUCUAAAACAAUUUAACCCAAUAAUAACUUACACACAUCAUUUAACAUCCGAGGGUAAUUCCGUCAUUCUACGUCAUCGAGAAUAAUCUUCCGGGACGGGCUGUGACAAUAUCAGCAAUAUUUAUGUUAAUUAUGAAUAGGUCAAUCAUGUAUUUAAUACUUAAAUGUAUUUAAAAUAAACACCUUAUCAAUGUUUUCUGAACUGUGCUCGAUUUUUCUCCUUCGCUUUGGUUCUGUCCCAUUGGAUUUUUCAAGCAAGAUUUUAUCAAGGCAACUAUCAUUAACUGUGAACAUAAUUUAUCAUUGAGACACGAACAUCCAAGGGGGAGUGUCGUGGAAAAAAAUGUAGAUAUCUUUAUACGUUGUAUGGUAGUAAACCAUCAUAAACACCAUAAAUAUGUAGAAACGCCCUUGCGGUACCUUUGAAUGAUAACUCAUGUAUUUGUUGCCCUAUGUAAAGAUGGCUAAUGAUAAUGGAAGACUAAUUUUCUCAUCCCAAUCUCUCCUGUCUCUCUUAUUCUCUUUUCUCUAUAUUUUAUUUCCAACAAGUUGUGUUUUUUUUUUAGUAUUGUUAAGCAACCCAAUAGAUUUUAAUCGUAGUCUUUGUUUUUUUUCUUUUAUAUUUUUAAUCAAUUUCAGUUGCUUAUCAGUUCUAGCUAAUUGAGCUCUUUUACAGCAAUUUUUUUCUUUAAAUAAAAUUAUUAUUAUUAAAAAGAGUGAGAAAAUUCGAAAUUGUUACAAUAAUUUAAAAAAAAUAGGAGUUUCAAAUCAUGAAGGUAGAGGGAGUUAACAACAUUUUAGGGGGGGGUGUAGUCAAACUAGGAUUUUGAAGGAUUUUAAAAGUGAUAGAUUUGAUAGGAUUUAAGAUGAUUAAAGACUCUUACAAAAUUCAUAUGGAUUUUAAAGAAUAUGAAUGGAUUGCGGUGGAUUGUGGGGGAAGGAUUUGAAAUCCUAGGGGGUGAGGUUUGAUUCUUUUUAGUUUUGGUUAUAUAUGGUAUGCUUUCAAAUCCCAGAAAAUCCACAACUUUUUAAAAUCCUUUAAAAUCUUAAUUUUUUUAAUACACUUAGAUUUGGAUGGAUUCUAAAAUCCUUUAAAAUCUUUUAAUUGACUACACCUAGAUUUGAAUGGAUUCUAAAAUCUUUUAAUUGACUACACCUAGAUUUUAAUGGAUUCUAAAAUCCUUUAAAAUCUUUUAAUUGACUACACUAUGAUUUUAAAGUCUUUAAAAUCCUCUCAAAUCCAAGUUUGACUACACCCCCUAAAGAUUUUAAGGAAAACUAAUGAAAAUGGCUUGAAAACUUUGAGUUUUAACUAGGGGUGGGCAAACGGGUACAGGAACCGCGGGUAGGGGUGGGUAAUUCAAGUUCGGGGCAGGUAUGGGACAUGUCCAAUAUUUCUAAACACAAAACGGGGCGAGGCUGUUCGGGUAUAUGAAAUUAUCGGGGCGGGGCGGGUCUUAAAAUAGAAGGGAACGGGCCCCCAGCCUGACCCGUUUCUUUUCCUCAUCCCUAGUCUUCUCUAUCUCUCUUCCCCGACACUUUUCAUUUCACUCAAACCCGGCCCAUUUCUUUUCCUCAUCAGUCAUCCCUAGUCUUUUCAAUCUCUCUUCCCUAACUCCUUUCAUUUCACUCGUACCUCGAGACCUCCUCUUAACUCGCUCCCAGCCUCCCACCGUCCUAGCUCCGUACCUCGCCAUCAUCAUCGUCAGACCUCCAUCUCUCCUGAUUUACUCAUGUCUUCCUCGCUGCGUCCGCCGCCAUGUCUCUCUUUCUGUGACGAACUUAAAGGGACGGACGAAGUUGAACAACUCGAAACGACGCCUCUUCUGUCUGAAUUAGACCCAUAUUUGCAGCGCACGACUCUGCUCAUAGUCCUCUUCGGUUUUAAGGUAUUACGUUUUAGAGAUUUAGGAUUGAAAAUUAAAUUAGGGUUUUCUAGAUUUAGGGAUUUUGUUGGGUUCUUGAACCUUGACCUCUGUUAUGUUCCAAUUUCAAAUAUAUAUUGAAUUGAAUUUGAAUCGACUGUGUUUGAAACUUCUGUUGAAUUAAAUUGAAUUUGAGCAGGAGAAGAGGCAGAUGUGGGUUGGGCAAUGUCGAAUCUCAUUGUGGGUGGUGAGGUGGGCAUGGCGGGCGACAAUAUUGACUGGCAAUGGUACGGGCGGUGCUAUUAAGUUGCAGAAGAAUACGAAGGAGGGGGUGUGGGCAUGGGUGGAUAUCGCAAGCUCAAUUGAAUUUUUUCUGGUUUUGUUUGUGAUUAAUUGCUUGUAUAUGAUAGUUAUUGAUGGAUCUUGACAUGCCCAUUUAAUUGUUAUUGGCAAUGCUAGUUUGAUUGUAACAAAUUCAAACCGAUUGAAUUGUAUCCCAGAAAAAAAAAUCAAUAAAGGAACUGAGGACCCGGCCCGAACCAGCCCAUUUCAACCGGGCCAGGUUAGGUUCGGUUCUUAUAUUAGAAAAUGUUGUUCCCGGCCCGUUUCUCUUAAGCCCGGAUCCAGUCCGAUCACUUCGAAAUUGGCCCCAACCCGGCCCGGGCCCACCUCUAGUUUUAACGAUAAGGACAAAAUAAAGGGUAAAGUGAAUAGUACCAAGUUUGACUUUUUAGUGUAAAAAUGUAAUUUUUCGUUAAAAUAAGAUUUUAAUGGAUUCUAAAAUCCUUAAUUAAGAAAUUAGGCUUCAACCCAACUCAUCUUUGCAACGCCGGUUCCACUUCACAUCAACAGGCAAUGUUUUCUCCUCAACAAAUAGUAUUCUUUUAUGAGACAAAGACUAAUGAGGGUGAUAUAUAUAAUUAAUAAUAAUACUUGUGUUCCCUUUGUGAGUGAAUGCACUUAUUUUACCAUUCUCUAAUAAUGUAUCUUUAUUAUAUAAAUUUAUAUCAUGUGGAUAUCUUCCUAUAAAAAAGUUAUUCAAAUUGGAAAUCCUUACGUCAUCAAAAUAUAUAAAAAAAUGGACGAUCUCAUCGUAAAUAUGUUAGUUACUCACACUAUAACUUUGUAUAUUCCCUCACGUAGGAAACGCAAUAAUUAUCCUCUAAUUAAUUCUUCUUGAGAGUAGAAUUUUUAUUGUUGGUUUUUCGCAACCUUCAGACCUAAAGCUGAUAUGGACCUCUCAUUGUUUUUUGGGUUGCCGUUCUUAUUUUGCUUGGUCCUUUUACCUUUUCUAUAGUUGUUUAUCUAGUUCUUUUGAGCCUCGUACUAAUUUUUAAUGUAAUGAAAAUUAUCUUCGUGAUAAAAAAAAAAAUCAUUAGUCCUCGUAUGAACAUGCGAUGUAACACACUUUCAUGGAACAACAGAUGAUAAAGACGAUAUCCAAAUUUUCUCUGUGUUAUGUGGACUUUCCCAACCAAAUAAAUAAUAACCAAUAAACAAAUAAAUAAGAGUUUAACUUCAAACAUUGAGAAGCGAAAUUCCAACACUACGAGCCUAACUUUUGUCUUCAUCAUCAUCAUAGACUAGUCUCCUAUCCAUCAACUCCUACAUCAAUUUUUUUUUUUACUAGAUUGUAGCUCACUUUCAAAAGAGUUACGUAAAGUAUUUAAGCACCAUAAAAGAAAAUUAAACGACAACGAUUGACAUAAUAUUAGUAGUAUCAUGGUCUAAAAUAUUCAUAAUAUCUUGAUAUUUUUAUUGAAAUUUUCGUGUUUUUAGACUACCUAUAUUUUCAAUAUCAUCGAUAUUUUAAACCUUGCUAAGUCACUCAUGUAUCUUACCAUGCAAUGUAUAAAGUGUAAAAUAUUGUACUAAUUCAUUAUAUAUAAAUGAUUAUAGUGUGUUUAAACUUCUUUCAUUAAUUACUACAUAUUUUCUACACUCACAAUGUUUGCCAGCUCGCUAUAUAAUCAACUUAAAUCAAUUAUAUCUAUCAUGUAAUGCAUUUCCUUCCAAUUUUUUGUGAUAAACUAAUAGAUAAUUGACUAAAUAAACAUCCUGCAAAGUUUCAAUAAAAAUUUCCAAGUUUUUCUUACAAUUUCCGUAGUUUUUAUUCAAUUUUUAUCGAUAUCGAUAAUAUCCCGAUAUUUCCAUCGAAAUUUCCGUAUUUUUAGACUACUGAUAUUUCCGAUAUCAUCGAUAUUUUAUACCUUGGUAGUUAUACAUUUUAUCGGCCUCAUUUUUAUGCAACUUAUACAUUAAAUUAUUGUCAAAAUGUACAUAUAAAGUAGCUGAUCAACGAUGAGAUUUUAGGCAACCAUUUUCUUCUACGACGUCAAAGGUUGUAGAGGUGGCCAUGUGCACUACAUGCGUAAAUCAACUAGGGACUUGGAUCCUCUCUUAAGCCCAAGGAGAGGAUCCUCCUAACCAAAUGACUUGGAUUGUUGGAUGAAAAUCUAACGAUUACAAACAGAUGAUCUCUUUAAAGUUAUAAUAUUUAUUACCGUUGAAUUUUCAUCAAACGGUCAAAUAUCAUUGGUCAAAAGGGUCCUCUCAUUGGGCUCAGAGAGGACCCAAGUGCAUCAACCAGAACUAUUGCUAUUAUAACAAUUCAUGAAAUCAAUUAAACAAUAAUUUUCCUUCUGGCAGGCAUGUUAGUUAUUUCUUAUUUGGCCAAUUGCCUAGUGGAUUUGGUAGAUUUAACCUCUCCACCACAAACACAUUUAAAAAUUUCCAGAAAUCCGUAACGUAAAAUUUAAAAAUAAAUAUUAAUAACAGCAAGUUCUUUUCACCGACCGUGACCGAGAUCUGUCACAUAUCCAAAAUGUCACCUCCUUAUCGCAAAAACCAAAUUUGACUUGGGAUAAAUACCGUGUACAAAUUAAACGCGUUUCUCUAGCUUUUGCGUAAAGAGGCAACCCAACACUAAACUAGGAAAACGUUGGGUUGACAAAGAUACCAUGAAGAAUAAAGGGGUUAUGCAAUCCACUUUGCAAGAUAAUCAAAGUUUCCCGUUGUAGACUUGUCUUAACCCAACACUAAACUAAGAAAACGUUGCUUUCCCGUUGUAACAUGAAACAACAUUAAACAACAUUAAACAAUAUUAAAUAACAUUAAAUAACAUAAAAAUUAUACAACAUAAAAAAAACCAUUUAACAACAUAAAACUUAAAAUGCGUACUUCUUGCUUCUUGUGGCCUAAAGAUGUGCAACAAGAUCUUGAUGUAGGUACUUGUUUGUGGCACGAAAACGUAUCAUCCUAGCCGUUGGAUUUGAAUUUUUUUUGUUUUCGGCCAAAAAAUUUUAAAUUUAAAAGUUGAAGAUGGUGAGAAAUAUGAUCCUACACUGUUCAUUAAAAUAUUAAUUUCUUGAAUGACCAAAAGGCUAAAACAAGCCAUCCUUCGGUUGGAGAUGCCUAAGGAGAGACUAGAGAUAGAGAGUUUCCUAUAUAUGAUUUUCAUUAACAAGAUUGAAAUGAUUUCAGAGAGAAGAUCAAGUAUGGUUAUUUUUAUUUUGUAGAGUGUAGACAUUAUAACUAUACAUUCAUAAUAACAUGAGUAAUGUUAUAUUUAUCACAUUUGUACUCUUUCUCUGAUAAAGGUAGGGUUCAUCAACACAUGUGGGUUCUAUUUGCCCAUCAACACAUGCGGAUCUCAUUUUUAUUAGAAAAAUAGUACAAAUAUGGUACGGAAAAUAUGAUAAGAUCGCAAUUUUGUAAUAACAUAUAUACUCAACUAUUUAUAUACCGACCCAUCUCCUUUUAGUGUAGAUAAUAUCGUUUGUUAAAAAAAAUGUUGAACUUGUCAUAAUCAUUGAAUCCAUUUACCAUGAACAAACGGCAGUUUACUAAACUUGCCCUCAGAGUAUAUAUAAAAGGUGAAUCACAAUCUAUUGCAUUAAUAUAAGGAAACAAUUUAUAGGGUUUGACGGGUGACUUAAUAUGCUAUAUGGCACAAUGAAAAUUAAGUUCACACUUUAUCCCAAAUAAGGUGUUGCACCUUUAAUUUAUGGAUGCUGGUUUGACGUGUGACCGAAAUAAUCAAAUUGUAGCCAUUAAUCAUUUUACAAGUAAUAAUAUGUAGUUUUUACUGUUUACGAUUCACACAACAAUCUGCUAGGAAGUAGAAAAUGCAGUACUUGUCCCUCUCACAGAAGUCAUGAAUAAUUAUCAAAUUCAAAGAUAAAGAAAAACCACACAAUUUACAAGAGGAAAGAAAAUGAAGGGAUAAAGAAAGUAAGAAAGGAAUACCUCUAUGGGAGGACUCUUAUUUGCUUCAGAUGCCUACAAUAUUCAUCAUAUAAACACUGAUUAAGUAGUCAUCGAAAACCAAAACAAAUGUCGAACAUAGGGUGAAAAACAGAAAGAAUAACCGCAGCUCAUCAUACCAAUAGAGAUAGAACUGCCCGAUGCCCAAGUAUGACUGAAAAAUGGCAAUCCAAACAUGGCGCCUUCUAGCUCAUCAAACUGUCAAAACCUAGGUUCCACCAAAAAGAUACAAGUCACCUAGUUACUUGUAAAAUAAAAAUCUGUUUCAAAAUAGUGGAAAAUAUUAUUAACAUUGUUCAAAGUCCACAUUGUUGUACCUACCAAGAAACAAGAAGGAUUGUAUCUUAUCAUGAAAAAGAACAUAGGUACCUUUUCAAUUGUAAUUGUACAAAAAUGAGAGACCACUUCCGAACUUCUCUUGGAACUUCAAUCAAUUUCUGCCCACUUUUAAAUGCCUUGACAUACUUAAGCCUAUUUCUUUGAGCUUCAGUUUUGGCUUCUGAUGCCUUUAAAUUUCUUAAAGAUUCUUACCAAGUUUUACAAACUCACUUCUAUACAACCAUUUGUCAGUAUACAUACCAUUUUCUUUGAGCUUCAGUCUUUGCAACACCAAAACCCCCCAAAUAGACCCGGAAUUUUGCAAUGUGCAGGGAAUAUACAAAAAAAACCCUCCUAUCCAUCUAAAACGAAAUCAGAACCCAAACCACAAUCAAAAUCCGUAAAAUUAAUUUAGCCAACCCUAAAUCUAAUAAUUCUAACAAAUAUUAUAGUAUCAAUUGAGAGAGAAUUUGAGAAGAUACCUAGAGAUGAAAGGAAGAGCGUUUCCUCUGAUAGGGGUUCCGUGAAAGCAUCUGUUGACCAGAAAAGAAAAGGCAAAAAACCCCAAAUUACAUAUCAAGCAAUUAUAGAUAGAUCGAACCUUGAAAAUUGAAAUUUCAAACAAGAGAAAGGUUAUAAACUUACAACGAUCUGGGUGUUGGUUACUGGGUUUGGAUUUGGGUUUCUGAUAAGAGAGAGAAUCGUAUGAGGAACCGAUAGAGGAACUGCACCGGCAACAGAGAGCAACUGAUAUGGUGGAGAAUAGAGAUGGGCAAAAUAUCCCGGUUAUCCGCCCAUUUAAAGUUCACAGUUACGGUUAUGGUAAUUGAACGGUUAUGGGUACUACCCGUGGUUAUAACGGGUAUCUAUUGGUUAUGGGUAUUAUCCGCGGUUAUAACAGGUAUUCAUUUACCCAUUUAAUUUCAUAUAUGUAAAAUUUAUAAUAUUUUUAACAGUUAUAACGCGUUUUUGUAUUUGUUGCCAAACUUUUCGUAUACAAAAAAUUUGAAGCACAAGAAGCCAACAAGGAGAAAGAUCAAAGAGCUUACUUGAAGCUUAUGAUCUAUCCUGCGGUUAAUAGAAAGUACUGGUAUUAGUGUAGAAAAAUGUUUGUUUUUAGAAGCUUUAUUUUGUAAUCAUAUGAAUUAUAAUUAAAGACUUGCUUGGGUGUAGUAAAAAAAUAUCGUUUGUAAACUAUUAUUUCAAUUAUUAGAAUUGUAUGAUGACCUAAAUGAUUAAAAUAGAGAAAUGCAUGCUAAAAUGUAUUUAUAACAGUGUUUAAUUGUCAGAUUUUUUUUUUUUUUGUAAUUUUCAAGUUGUUAAAAAAAACAUGCAGAGAGGUGAAAAAAGGGAUUAAAAAAUGAUAAACGGGUUCAAAACGGGUAAACGGGUAAAUGAUUAUGGUUAAAUAGGUAAACGGUUAUGGGUAAAUGGGUACACGGUUAUGGGUAUGAGUAUAACCGUUUAUGCAAUUACCCAACGGGUAAACGGCUAUGUGGGUAUGAACAUAAAUGGUUAUGAGUAAAUAACCGCGGUUACCCGCCCGCUAUAACCAUUGCACAUCCCUAAUAGAGAACAUACGAGAAUAGCCGCUUGGAUGGUCAAUCCAAGAAGAGAAAAUCUUGCCACAAUCACGGUACUUGAAAAAAAAAACAAUUUUAAAGGAGGGAAACAAUCGCGCCUUUUUUUUAAUAGACUCUGUCGACGAUAUUCUUGACAAAUAGUCGGGUGAGCUUAUUUUUCACAACAUUUUAUUUAGGACUAGGUUCGGUUGGCAAAUCGUGUCAAAUUUCUUGUGCCAUUUGCCAGCCACAUAUACAUAAUUACCAAAAAUCAGUUACCGUUCGCCAACCAUCUUCUUGCGGUUGCCAAAAAUCGGUUCAACCAAAAUGAUUGGCUGGUUCGGUUGGUAAAUGGCACAACCGGUGGUUUCCACUUCUUCCUCGCUAUCUUCUAGUUGCAAGGGCUCAAUUUGAUUUUCAGAUUGGGAUGCUUGUUCGGUUGCAUUGUGUGGUUCAUUUUGGGUUAAUCCAUGUUGUGCACUAGCAAUUAAUUGGCUAGACUCCAUCAUCCUAAACAUAAGCAACACAUAUACAUUCAAAAUCAUAUAUAUGUACGUGUAUAUAUAGUAUCAGUAAUCAUCAUGUUAUCAAUUUUGUUAACAAUAUUUUCUAUAUUGAUUAUGGCAUGAAUCAUAUACAUAUACAUAUAUUUUUUAAACCCUAAAACUAAGGAGUUAUUUAUUUUCUAAGCCCUAAAAUUGAGGAGUCAAGCAUGUAAAAAAAUACUUAAAAUAUCUAAAUAGAAAAAGAAAAAAAAAAAAAAAAAUAUAUAUAUAUAUAUAUAUAUAUAUCGGUAGGUAUGGCAUACCGCCGACAUACAAAAUCAAUUACCAAAGCCAUGCCAUUAAUUGUCGGUUCGGUAAAAUGCCAACCGAUUAUGAAAAAAUGCCAAAACUAUACCAUACCAUUUUGAGCCAACCGGUAUGGUUCGGUCGGUAAAUCGGCUUAUGGCAAAAUUUCUCACCCCUAAUUUUAUUUGUCGCCUUAAACCUAUUGGUUUCUAGCCUACAAUUUGGAUAUUUUGUUGGGGAAAGAUUUUUGUACCAAUAAAAUUUUGCUUUGUCAGCUUAGGAUUUGUCGGCAAAAUGACAUUUUCUAGUCGUUAUAAUAUUAGGUAGAUCAAAUUUGUAAACUAUGUGAUGUGUCACCAAUAGGAAAAAAAUUCAGUGUGCUGAAAAUACAGUCUAGAACACCAAGUGUCAUAAUAUAUACUUGGUUGGAAAUUUUUUAUUUUCAAGUUUCCAACUAAUUGUAUUGUAACAGUUGGUGUUCCAAGCUAUUUUCUCGAUGCGUUGGAAAAUCUCUUCACCAAUUAAAAAUAAACAUAUUAAUUAACACUUAAGUAAUAAUCAAAGUAUCAACAACUACGUCAUAAAAUUUACGAAAUAUGAUCUUAAUUAAUGAUCUCCAUGGCAUUACCCUUUAUCUUAGCGUAUACGUACGCCUUCACAUGUUUAUUUGCUGAUAUGCAGCUUGAGUAAAAAUUUCUUUUUAAGAACAUAUAUGUGAAUAUAAACAUAUAUAUCUAGUGAUCCAUGUUGCGUUAUUUAAAAAUAAACAAAUUAAUUAAUUAAUAAAUGAACUGUGUGCAUGUCUGUGUAGAGUAAUCCAUAUGCAUGCUUGAAUCCUGAUCACCACGAAACCAUAAUAUAAGCUACUCAAGGCCCGGAAGCUAGGAUUGAAGAGAAAAACACCCAGUCAGAUUAAGCCAAUAUAUCAAAGUUAAUACUUCGAAAUGUAAGCUUUAAGAUAGAAAAAUCACUUACUACCUUGAGCAGUCGAGCUUCUUCAAUGGCAUGAAGCUUUUAGCAUGAGAUUGACUGCAUCACAACUAAAAUUUUCUCUUGGAAACUACAUAAGGAAUAGCAUGUAUACCUAUAACGUUGAGAAAGUACGCCAAUUUUUUCCUUCUGCACAUUCAUGUUUAAAAGUAAUCCUCAAAUGAACUUGCCCACAAUGAAAUGCAAUUUGAGGUAGUCGAGUGUGUUCCAUUUCCAUUCCAUGGGAAUUACUACUAAACUUUGAGAUGGUAAAGGAUUCAUGAAAUUUUUUACUUUUGAGAUAGCCUCUUUAACAUUUCUCGACUAUAACAAUGAGGGAAUACUUCACCUUGUAUCAAACAAGGGAGAGCGAAAAUCAACUACUAAUAGCAUCACAGAGCCAGCAGAAGAUUGAGGAGGCCAUGAAGAGGAGAGAGAAAAUACACUCUUUUUUUUUGUAAGGACAGAGAUAAUACAUUCAGUAAGGGGUACUGAUGUUUAUAUGCAAUGCUGAUUAGGUUUAAAUAGUCCUAUUUAUUCUGUACAGUGCCAAUAUUACCACCCGUUAGUACACUUUCAAGACACUGUACUCCAGUGUGUGCGCUAUGCAGUACGUAGUACUCCUCAUUUUUUGGGGAAAUUCAUUAUUGGUCUUCAUAUCUUCUUUAUUUUCCUUUUCCUCAUUGUGCCACGUGUUUAAAUCACUAAUUGUAGGUAAUCUUUCAAUUUAAUUAAAUCUUAUGUAAAAAAAGAUAUUUAAAUAUCAUUUAGUAUUACAAGAUAGUGAUAUUCCUCUUUAGUAUAAAAUUUUUAUAAUUAAAAGCGUUCAGUUUUUUAAUCUUCAUUUGAAUACUAUCUAUAAAGAAAAAUUAUUCGAAUAAGAGAUCGUUUAUGCAUUCAAAUGUACAAAAUGCAUCGACAGUGUGAGAACGAAUUAAUAUAUUUUUGAUGAAGUACAAUUAUUGAAUACAUUUGAAUGAUCAAAUGAUAUAUGAUUCAAAAUACAUAUUAAGAUAAUAAAUAUAAGUGAAUUGUUAUUAGCACUCCAAGAAUCUUAUUAUACACUCUAAAUUUUCUAUAUUUUGAAUGAAAAAUAAAUUUAUGAAGAGUGUAGAAUGAGAUUUUUUAAUGCUAAUAACACUUCUCUAAAUAUAAUUAUGAAAUUAAUAAAGUAAAGAUACAUGACCUCGUGAAUGAUGUAUGUAUUAUUCAAAAAAUUAUUAAAAACAAAUUGAAAAAGGACGCUGUUGUUGCCACCACUUAUGCAAUGAUCGUCGCUGCCAUCACCAACCCCCAACACCCCAUUACAGCUCAUAAAAGCACAUCAUAAGCAAUUUAUGAAAUAAAUUUACUGGAAUACUAAUUUCCCCCUUAGUUUAGGUCACCAAUGUUUAAAUUUAGGGGUGUGAUAUGCACAUACCUUUUUUUGCUUCUCUCACACUUUUUUUGUUGUUGUCGAAUCAGAUGAAUUGAAGAAGAUCAAUUGACAGAAAUUAACAAGGGGUGUAUGAAAAGUAAAAAUGGAUGUGUAGAUAACACAUCCCUAAAUUUAUCACAACUUUCAUUCCAAAUUUAAUUUUUAUGCGUAGUUUUGUUUGUUCAAAUUUACUUUGACAUUUCAAUUAGUAUUAAAAUCUAAUUUAAAUUUUAGCGUUCAAGCUAGAAAAAGUGUUCCAUUUAAUAUUUAAUCUCAGUUUUUCUCUUUAUUCUUUUAUUCCGAUUUGGUUGCAUCGUAUCUCCAUUUUUCUCGGUGUUGUAUGUUCAUAAGGCCUGGGAAACGUUGGCACGGAGUGAAGGGUACUCACUUUUUGGCCCAAAAUGCAUAAGGCAUGUAGAUAUGUUAAUCAAAUUUUGUAAACUAAAGGAUAUAGAAGUUGAUACUUAGAUUAUAAUUUAAGAUAAUACUAAAGAGACUAAAUUUGCAAACUAAAUGAUGUGUCACCAAUAAAAAUAAGCACGUUUAUCAACGCUUAAGUAAUAAAUCAAUCAUCAACUUUCAUGUCCUUUAGUUUCCAAAAUUUAAUAUACAAAUUUAGUCUCCCAAGCAUUACUCUAUUACUUAAGUAUUGAUUAACAGACUUAUUUCUUAUGGUGACAUAUUAUUUAAUUUACAAAUUUAGUCAACCCAACAUUACUCUUUUGAAAUUGUCUUGUCCACUGAUAUAAUUCUAUUUUUCUUGUGAUCAAAACUUCAAAUGUUAGCAAGUCGCACGUAAAGUCACUUCUGAGAGAAUGUGCUCACAUUGUAGUUGAAAGAUUAUGUGGCUAGCAACAUUACAAAUUUAAUUUGGUAUAAUUUAAAAUAUAGAUUGAGGAAAAAAUGAUCACAUUAACUAGAAACUGAAAAGGUUUCAGCACAGUUUGUUCAAGCAAGAAACUCAAUUUUGAUGCUACCGAUCUUAACAGCCUGAGCGCCGUACCUGGGCACUAAAGUCACCACCACACUCUCAUCAUCUUCAGCACCCAAAUCCUCCAACAGGUCCGUUAACCCCAACCUUAAACAACUCUUGCUCUUUUCCUUCUGCUUAUGUGGAACACUCACAAAACUCCCAGCAAACUCGCUCUUGUCGGGUCCACUCGGUGCCGCAUCCUCAUCGUCCACGUCAUUCACAUACACAUCAAACUUCACAGCCACAUCUUUGUCAAGCUCAAUCCCCUGAAUCACCAGUAUCUCCUCCUCAUCCUCUUUCUCCUUCUUGCUCCUCUUCUUCGGCUUCGGCCUUGACACCACCGUACUUAUCUUUGUCUCCAAAUUUAUUGGAAAAUCUUUACCCGCCACCACCUUCCCCGAUGACGUCGUCUCAGCGGCCUUCGCCACUCCAGCCGCCUUUGCCUUUCUCGCAAGCUUUGUCCGACGUGGCGUCGGUCUAGACUUGAGCCAUGGAAUCUCAACAUCUUCAUACGUAUACCCUAGCUUUUUAUUAUCAAGAGUGUCCCUCACCGUGACCCUAACAAGCUCAGCAUUCUCGUCAUAAAACAAAAACCCCGUAUCCAACCAAUCCUUAUCGUUAAUAUCUUUAUUUUUAGUCCCUAUACUUUUCCAAAUAUUCCACAUUCGAUCUAUAUUCGAAUGGUGCGAAAAAAAUAUUGGAUCCCUUGCAGCGGAGUAAAAAUUCCCCAUGUCUUCAAAAUUAGGUUGCGUGUUAUCUCCGGUCCAUGUAUGAACCGGACCAUGUGGGGUCGUUUCGAUUGAACCGGCCCCUGGAUCUGGUUCGGUGCCAGCCCUGUAGGGCGAACCAAAGAACAACAGCGGUUUCUUGGAGUUGGAAACCAUCUGCCUAUACAUGAUUUUGAGGUUGGCGUCGAUUUGAGCAUCCUUGGACAUUGUUUCAUCCGUGCCGUUAAAGUCAAGAUCGAUGAGAGUCGGCGGCUGAUGGCUGGCAGCGCGGAGCUCGUCGUAAAGCGGAGAGUCCGGGUUAGCGAACAAGGCAGGGAGUUGCAUGCCAGCUGGCGCGUCCCAGUUCCAAAACGGCAACGCGAACGUCGGAUCGUCUAUGAGUUUGGCCAAGAUUCUUUCGUGGAAGUAUAGGUAGUAACGAUGGAAGGGGAAGAAAAGCCAGGAUUGAUGGAUUUGGAGCUCGAGGUUGGGGAAGCCGACUUGAUCGUACGCGCCGUCGCAAUAGGCACAGUGGAUAUCGGCUUGCUGGGUGAAGCUACGCGGAUCGUCGUCCGGGAGGGCUUUCAUGAGCUCGAUGGCUUUUGAAUAUUUUUCGAUGUAGGCUUUAUCCACGGUGUGAGCUGCCGGCCUGACGCGGAGUUUGGUAGGGGAGGGGAAUUUGAAGUCUACGAUUUUUUGGGACGUUGGCGGGCAACAGUUGGUCGGGACUGCUCCACUUGGAAAGUCCGCACCUCCGCAUUUGGCUAGGUCAGGCGGCGACACUGGCUUUGCAACAGCGAAGGGGUCGCUGCCAAGACCAGCCACUCCACCGUACAGGCUUCCGAGACCUAUAAGUACAUGUCUUCUGUCUAGGUUUACUGGAGAAAGGUUUUCAUGGUCGUGAUCGUUGGAGCUAGUGGAAGGGUUUUUGUUUUGGUCACUACUAUUAUUCGUGGCUUUGCAUGAGACGGCUUGUAAAUUGGAAUGCCUAGGGUUUUCAAAUAAGGAAAUUCGGUGAUACUUUUGGGAGAAAGGGAAGAGAGAAGUUGUGGGGAUGAUACUUGUGGUGGAGGUGACGAGUGGAGCUGACAUAGAAGCCAUGGUUACUUGACUCUGAAUACUACGUUGUAUAGGCUUUGCUUUUAUAAUGUGUUCUAGGUUUUACUUUUCUUUGCACAGGUGGCAGGCCGUACACAUUGGCGGUCCUUAAGGGUUUGACGAGGAAUACUACGUAGUCAUUUAGUACAGGGCAACCAUGCACUAUAGCACGUGGCAUGUAAUAUUUACGUAGUCUCAGAAGGUGAAGCGGUUUUGGGCUUCUUGUGUACCAAUAAUAUUUACGUACUCAUUAUUCCACUGGAUGGAUUGCGUGCACGUGAUCUUUAUUCAAACAAAUCACUAUUGACCAUAUAUUGCAAUUGGUUAAUGUUAGGCAAAUUAAAUUUUUACAUCAAAUAAUGUGGUUGCUGAUUAUUGAAUUAUUAUUUAAGUUUGAUUAAUGUGCUUAUUUUUUAUCGGUAAUACAUCAUUUGAUUUGCAAAUUUGAUUUACCUAAUAUUACCAGUUAUAAUUUGUAUAAAUGGACUGGUACCUAACAUUACCAAUUGUAAUUUGUAUAAAUGGACUCGUACCUAACAUUACCGGUUGUCCCAAGAGCACACGCUACUGCUCAAGAAGCAAAGUUCUUAUUUGCCCAAAAAAAAUCAUGGUUUUUUAAUUGAUGCUCUCAUUUUAAUUUACUAGCCCCUUACUUGGCCCUUUUUAUUUAUCAUUUUAUACAUAUUAAUAUUUUGUUUGUAAAAUAUAUUAGUGUUAGUUUUAUCAAAAUUAAAAAUAAAUAAAAAACUUAGCUUUAGUAUUUAGUUAUUGAAAUUGUAAAAAAAGUGAUAAAGUAUUGGGUGCUUUGUUUGAAAAUUUUCAAAAUGAUAUUGUUUUUACCACUGAACCCCUGUUAUAUACAGUGAUGGCUAAUUUGUCAAGUUCUACGAAGUUGGGAUACCCAGCGUUUUAGCAUAUAACAUAGCUUAGUAUUUCAAGCAUAAUUAAUUAACGAAAAAUUAGUAUCCGGUCCCUAGUUUUUACUGUUCAUUGACUAAGACCUUAUUAGUUCUCAAAUUUUGAUUCAAGUCCCUAGCAUUAAUGUGAUAAUGAAUUUACAUGUUUAUUAUAUAAUUUUUUAAUAUAAAAAUUAGUAAUUAAUUUAGGGUUUAAUACUCACACCUCUAUUAAACUUCUAAUUAAUUUUCAAUUCAGACAUUUCCAAAAUAAUAAAAAAUUAAAUUAAAUUAAGUUUGUACCUAUUAGUUUUUUUUUAUAUAUAAAAAGAUUCUCAAUUUUUAAUCUUAAAUGUACAUCUUAAAUGUACCCAUUCUCAAAUAUAUCAAUUUGUUAUAUGUAAAAUGUACCCUUUUUUAAUAUAAAAUCCAUUCAAAAUUUUUAAUCCAUGUUUAAACUUAUAUGGGUACAUUCUUUUUCGUUGAUUUGAGAAUGUAUCCAUGUUUUGGUACAAUAAAUUUUUUGUUAAUUUUGGUUAAUGUACCCAUACAUAUAUGUACACACACACACACACACACACACACAAUAUAAUAGAGAGUAUAAUUUAUAUUUUAUUAUUUUUAAUCCCAUAAAUGAUGGGUUUUAUUUAAAAUCUCAUUAAUAUAAACAAUUAUAAAUUUCAAUUUUUAAUUUUUAAUUUAAAAAAUAUAGUAACUUACAUUAUUACAUUAAUGUCAGGGACCUCAAUAAAAAACUAAAAACUAACAAGGUUUCAAUCAAAGAAUAUUGAUAGCUAGGGACCACAUCCAAAGUGUCCCUUAAUUAAAGGGUAAAUUACAUAGUAACCCCUCAGGUUUGAUGUCUAUUACAACCCCAUACAACAUCUUUAAAACAUUUCACUUUCAUACCUCAAGUACUAUUUUAUUUCAAUAUAAUACAUCUGUUAGAUUUUCCAUCCAUUAAUCCGUUAAAUGCUGACAUGGAUACCACAUUUGUGCCACGUGGCUGCCAAAUGCGUGUCAUGUGGCAAAAAUAAUAAUUUUUAAAUUUAAAAAAAAAUGAAUCUUCAACCCAAAAAAAAAAAAAAAAAAAAAACCCCAAACCCAGAUCCCAUCAACCCCCCCCAAACGAUUAUCCCUUCCCCAUAUCCCCCAUCCCACCCCCCAACCCCCCCUCUGCGACCAACCUUACCAUAGCGCCCCCCAACCUCGCGACCCACCUCACUCAAGGCCCUAAUCCACACUACCUACAACCCAGAAACGAAAAAAAAAAACAAAAAACAAAAAACUCAUCUCCCUUUCCCUGCAACCCAAAUCCCAUCUUCCCUAAUGGGUAUGGAUUUAAGAAGUGGGGUGUGUAGAGGAGGGAAGAGGGUGGGUGCGGAGGAUGGGUAUGGUGGGUUGCAAGGAAGGGGGGUCGGGUAAGAUGAAGAUGGGUUUUUUUUUUCUCUCUCUCUUCUUCUUCUUCUGGGUUGCAAGUUGUAGGUUGGGGUUUUUUUUUGGGGGGGGGGGGGAGGGAGGGAGGGAAGACGACGUGGGGUUUGGUUUUUUUUUUUUAAUUUAUUUAGAAGAUUUAGGUUUUUUGAAAAAAAAAAAAAAAUUCCACGUGGCACAAAUGUGGCAGCCACGUCAGCAUUUAACAGAUUAAUAGAUGGAAAAUCUAACGGAUGUAUUAUAUUGAAAUAAAAUAGUACUUGAGGUUAGAAAGUGAAAUGUGUUGAUGCACAAAACCGAAGGUCUUUGAACAACGUAAAUCCGAUCGUGAAUAUGCAAGUAAUGUAAAUAACACAAGAUGUAUCGUGGUUCACUCCAAUGUUUGGGCUACGUCCACACUGAUUAUUGUAUUUCUCUGAGAGGUGAGGGGGAGAGCUUUGAGAAAGCUUAGAGCUUAGGGGAUGUGAGAAGGCUUAAGAAUUGGCCUCCCUUAUUUGUGAGGGUGAUGAGUCCUUUUAUAGAAUAAGGGAUCCUCACUUAUUACAUAUUUGCCCAUUCCUUUAUUACAUAAUUACAUUUAAGUCCCCUGAGUACUUGUACAAGGUCUAAAUACGGAGGCCCUAAGUAUGGUACAAACAGUAGUCCCCCAAGUCUUCAGUCAAGAGAGUCUUUUGGCUAGAGACUUGAAAUUCUGUCCAUGUGUGAGCCGAAAUAACUAGAUGUCGUCUAGAACUGAUAUUUGAUAUGCGGCAGUGCCCAUUUUGAAAUAAUGCUCAACUAGAAGUAGCACAUGCUGCGAGGCUGCUCUGCUUGUGUUGCCUUGGUUGGCUCGACUUGUGGCGUUGAAGGUGAGAGAGUCCCUUUUAUAGAAUAAGGGCUCGCUCCUCAUUACAAAGAUGAUGGGUUAGUUGGUGCUUGCGGUGAGGCGGAUGCUCAGCUGGCGGCGAUGCUCUCUAAUGAUAGUGAGGGAGUCCAUUUUAUAGAAUAAGGGAUCGCUCCUCAAUACAUAAAUAAUAGGUGCUCUCUAAUGAAAGUAAGGGAGUCCCUUUUAUAGAAUAAGGGCUCACUCUUCAAUACAUAAAUAAUGGGCUAAGUCCCCUAAGUAUUUUUUAUGAGGCCUAAUUGAGGCCCAAUAUAUGGUACAUAAUGUAGUCCCCCAAGUCUUCGGUCAAUAGAGUCUGUUGGCUGGAGACUUCAAAUUGAAUCCAUGUAUGGGCCGAAGUGGCGGUUGUUCGGAAGCGGUAUUUGUAUACCCUGCACUGAAGCUUUAUAGGUGAAGCUUUGCAAGUGAAGCUUUGAAGCUGGAGCUCAGUAAAUGAAGCUUUUGAAGCUAGAGCUUUUGUAAAUGAAACUUUUGAAGCUGGAGCUCUAUAAAGGAAGCUUUUGUAAAUGAAGCUUUUGAAGCUGAUUCACAUGAGUGAUGCUCAUGAAUGUUUAUGUUGAUUGAUAUGAGUGAUGCUUAUGGAUGUUGACAUGAGUGAUGCUCAUGGAUGUUGACGUGAUGCUCAUGAAUGUUAACAUGAGUGAUGCUCAUGAAUGUUUAUGUAUGAUUGAUAUGAGUAAUGUUCAUGAAUGUUUAUGUAUGAUUGACAUGAGUAAUGCUCAUGUAUAAUUUGAAGUACUGGGCAUACUUUUGAUUACCUGGUUGGCGAUAAUAGCGGCAGGGUGCCGAAUAAUUUUUUGUAGUACUGGGCGUACUUUUGGUCACCUGGUUGGUGAUAAUAGCAGCAGGGUGCCGAAUAAUUUUUUGUAAUACUGGUCGUCCUUUUGGUCACCUGGUUGGUGCUAUUUUGAGCUUAUGGGCCUUCGCCCUCUACACAACAUUCCAGCCUAUUUAUUUUGGGCUUUACCGUUUUUUUUAAUUACCCUAUGAUGGGGUUUAUACAGAUGUCUCCGAAAGAUAUGAAAAAUAAAUUACAUCAUUCAAAAAUAAAUCCGACCCUCUGCUCAAUGGGUCACGCCAAUAAUUCUUUUUUUUUAUGCAUGCCAUCACCACCGCAAUUAUGUCUGCUUCUUUUUAUCUUCUUUUGCUUUCUGCUUUUGCUUUUACUUUAUCUUUCUCUUUUGGCAUAUGGCAGACAACGCCAAAACGGAAUAAUGAAUUAUUAUGAGAACAUGAAUCUUAUCUUUUGCCUGGUUUUCCACUAGUGCUCGUGGUAUUCUCAGGAGAUUGGAUCUGGGGGUAGGCGACUACCCCAGCACCUUGCCCUGAUACGUAAUAGCCUGAUGUCCCACUGCCAUCUCCAUACUGGAAGGUGUACGAACAAUGGUUAUUCUGUGUGGAACAAAUAGAAUCCGAUUGAGAUUCAAGACUGCACCUUCGAUCUGAGCAAGAAAUGAAUUGUGACGUUGAUGAACUUCUAGGAGGAGAAGCAGAGGAUCUUUGACUAUGAUGAUCUUUGAAUUCCAGAUGAAACUGAAUAAAAUGCAGGUUGUGGAGCUUGAUGUGGGCCCAGAUCUGCUUGACAGCUUUGGGGCGGGAGGAUUCCUUGACACUGAGGAAGAUUCCCAGAGCUGGAGGGAUGAGAAUCGACUUCAUAAUCCCGAUGGUGGGUUUGUGCUUGGUCGAAAGAUCAUUUCUGGCAGGGGAAAACAUGUACCAUACCUAUUGCAAAUCUUGCAAAUUCUCUGCUUCUCCAUGGAAGAUGAAGAGCAUCGAAUCUCUGUUUUCUCUCUCUCUCUCUAAAACGUUUUCGUUAUAGAGUGCCCCAAUAGAAGUGGACGGGCAGUGAGCAUGCCAUUUAGUGCCUCCUCCAAGACAGUAACUGAUACGGUGGUCUUUAUUGGCACUCCAAGUUUACUAAAAAGGGCAGCAAAAAUAGUAUUUACAGCACCCAAACUUGAAAGAUCUAGCUCCAACUAGUGGCUUUCUGUUUCAACAGCCUGAAAGCCGGCAGUGUCAUACCGACGCCGUUUGUCUGGAUCAAAUAAUAUAUUAUAAGAAAACAUGACCUUCUUGAAGAUAUCAGCUGUUUUAGAGUCAUUAGCAUUUUUGUCAGGAUGGUACUUGAGAGCCAUUUUCCGGUAAGCACUUUUGAUUUCCUGGUUGGUGGAAUUCCUAUUGAGGCCGAGGACCGCAUAAGGGUUUUGUCGGAGCUGCUUCUUAGCUUCUUGCUUCUCCGAUUUUGAUCGGCUGCCCUGCAUUUUUGAAAUUGACGGUCAAUUUCUUCACAAAACCCUAGAAAUUGCCUCUCGAUUACCUCCGAAACACAUAAUUCACGACUCUUGGUUGAAAUUUUUUUUUUUCAUUUCAAAGAAGUGGCGGAGGUAAAUCAGUUGUCACAUAGCACCGGAGCAUGAGGAAAACCUAGAAAACCAAGAGGCAGAGAGACUCCAUGCACAUCUAACCUGGAACCUUGCAGGAGAGAGCAGAGAGAAAGAGACAAGAAAGAUUGAGGGAGAAGCGAUCUUGGUGCAUCGUCUGUGAUUCCUUGGUGAUUUGCUCGAUCGGGACUCUGAAUUCGUGCAAGUCAUUGCUGUUAAGCAAGAAUCGCGAGGAGUCGGAGAGCUUGGAAAUCGAGAAGGAGAGAGGGCCUUUAGUCAGGGCUUGGAGGGUGUCGGACUCCGUCGGCCAAGAUUGGUGCACGGUCACGGCGUCUGGGCCCAUGGCGGUUGUGUAAAUGGGGGAGGUUCUAGGAGUCCAAGAAAGAAGAAGAAGCAGCGACCAUAGAUCUGGGAGUCCAUGGCGCUUGAAAGAUACGGCGAACAAGUCGGACUUGCUGCUGGGCAGCUGGCGGUGAUAAUGUUGGUGCAUGGGUUUUGGAGUGGGAGUGUUUGGAAUGGGUUUUUUGUUUAGUUUCUAUGUGUUUUUUCACAGAGAGAGAGAGAGAGAAGUGAUGGUGUUUAAGGGAUGAGUUUUGGAGCUUAGUGAAUGCUUUUUCUGGAAAAGCCCAGUGAGGUUUGUGGGUUUUUGCAGAUUUUGCAGAUUCGCGGUGGAGGUGAAAGAAUGAAAGAGAACCGACACAACUUUUCGUAUUGAUUCCCACAUACGGCGCCAAAUGUUGAUGCACAAAACCGGAGGUCUUGGAACAACGCAAAUCCGACCGUGAAUCUGCAAGUAAUGUAAAUAACACAAGAUGUAUCGUGGUUCACCCCAAUGUUUAGGCUAUGUCCACACUGAUUAUUGUAUUUCUCUGAGAGGUGAGGGAGAGCUUUGAGAGAGCUUAGAGCUUAGGGGAUGUGAGAAGGCUUAGGAAUUGGCCUCCCUUAUUUGUGAGGGUGAGAAGUCCUUUUAUAGAAUAAGGGUUCCUCACUUAUUACAUAUUUGCCCAUUCCUUUAUUACAUAAUUACAUUUAAGUCCCCCGAGUAUUUGUACGAGGUCUAAAUACGGAGGCCCUAAGUAUGGUACAAACAAAAUGUUUUAAAGAUGUUGUAUGGGGUUGUAAUAGACCUCAAACUUGAGGGGUUACUAUGUAAUUUACCCUUAAUUAAAAUAAGGGCAAAUGAAGAGGAUGGUUGAACUUGUUAAGUUUCUUAAGUGUGUCUAAUUUAAGUGUGUUGUUAAUAAACAUUUAUUAUGGAGGCAAAGAGAGGGAAGGUGCGGCAUAGAAAGAGAAGAGAGAGAUAUGUAAUUGUGAGUUGUGUUUUAUUCCAUCCCAUUGUGCAUUUAUUUAUAUUAGUUGGGAAAGUUAAUUCUUUAACCUUUUAGGAUUACAACUCUAAUAGGAAAAUAUAUAAUCUAAAAGAUAUGGUAGAAUCCCAUAAGAAUAUCCUAGAUAUGUUAGGAUUUACACAAUCAUAUUCCUAUUCCAAUAGGACUGCAAAACAUUUGUAUUUUUUUAUAAUUUUUUUGAUAAUUUGUUGGCAUUUUCAAUUUUUGUUAACAUUGAAAAUAUAACGGUUCAGAUGAAAAACCUUUGGAAAUCCAACAUUGAAAAUAUAACAGUUUGACGUUGGGCUGUGGUGAAGGAGGCUGGGCUGUCACGUGGGUGGGGCCCUCCCUCUCCCACUUGGUGAUUCAAAGGGCGCAGGCCCGUGCAACAAUUGAGGCAGCCCAUAGAGAUCCUGCGUUUCACCCAUUUGCCAUUUUUUCCACCGCUGGAGCACCAAAAUUCGGUCCAAAGGCAGGGGUUCCAAUUGCAUGGGCAAUUUGGUUUCCGCUGGAGGUGCUCUUUGUCGACUUUGUUUAUUCUUUCUUUUUAGCUUUGCAGUAAUAUUGAAGUAAUCACUCCAAUUGUAUCCGAACUUUUGUUGUCCAUCAAUUUGUAUCAAAACUAUUGGUUAAUUUACAUAUUCAGACUAACCUUCUCAUUAUUUUUAGUAUUUUUAUCAUAAAUAAUAUCUAAAAUAAUCACAUUUUAUUCAACAACCACUCAAUUAAAAAUUAAUUAAUGUUGUUUCUAAACCAUUACAUCGAGCUUUUGUAAAUACACAUCAAUAUUGCAGCGAUCCGAGGCAUUGUUUUCUACGCCUUGGAUUUGGCGAAUUGGAAAAGAGAAGAGUUACGAGUAAAAGUCCCUCACAUUAAGAGGGCUCCUCCUCGGGGAGAUGAAGAUGAUGAUCUUUUGUUUUUGUUUCUUAAUGAUUAAUCCACGCAGCAACAUAUAAUUAGAUUGUUGGGAUCUACUCAAGUUCCAUAUCACGCACUAAUAUAAAGUUUGACAAACGAAACGAAAUAUGUGCUCUCGAAAGCAAAAUGAGGGCACUGCUCCAAGAACAGGAAGGGCUCCUUGUCGAGGUUGCCAUCCGCCAUGAGGGAAAACCGGAAGAAGUUAGACAACAAUGAUGACAUCGAUUUGCAACACCCAUAUUGGGACAUCAAACUGUGAAAUAAAUACUCAAAACUCCUGGAAAGUCCUCGGGACAACAAACUUUUAUCUCCUUCAAAUAUUUCAUUUUACCAAGUUUUAUGUUUGAAGGGAGGGAAAAAAAGAGAUGAGAGAAUCCUACUCCUUAUUCUUGAAUAUAUUCAGGAAUAACUAUUGAAUAAAGAGAGAAUGGAAGGGGAUCGAAAGAGGAGGGAAGAUAAUUCUAGUCCCAAACAUAAAAAGGACCACAACUUUUAAAUUAUCAGCACGAUCAUCAUCUGAUUGAAGAGACCAUUCAUUGUGAAACAUAUCGUCAAUCAAUAUGUCUAUAUCUAUUUAUAUACCACAUUUUUGGAGUAGGAUUCUCCCCCCUCCUAUUACCAUCCCCUUCCAUCCCCUUCCAUCCCCUCCUUUCAUACUUUUUUUUUUCUUAUUCUCUAUAUAAAAAAUUCAAAACAAGAUGUAGAUGUGUCGUAAUCGCAAUAGUUUAAAUAAAAGGAGAUGGAAGGAGAGAUAAAUUACGAGGGGAGAGAAUCUUACUCCCACAUUUUUCUUCUUCAUAAACAAAAGAGAGGUUCUAGAUUACUUGACUCUAUGCCUCAUUUUUUUCAUCAAGUAUUUGUGCUAAACGGGUUCAGUUUCAAGUAUUUUAGUUUUUUGUCAAAAUUGAGAAAACUGAAAAUCAAACAUUAAUAUGCAAAAUUAAAAAAUCAACACAUAAUUAUUUAGAAAUCGCAAUAGAAAAGAAAAAAUGGAGGUUUGUGAUGAAAAAUCUUUUAUACUAAGUAAUUUAGUAUCCUUAUGCAUGAAGAUAAUCAAUUCGUUCGUUAUGGUCAGACUCUUUUUGAAUUUUUGAACACAUUCUCCAUAGGGCCUUCUUAUUUGUUCCUUCUCCGAGUUGGGGUUAUGGAAGAAGUAAAAGAAGGAACCAAGAAGAAAGUAUUGGCAACAACCGAUUUCGUUACGGGACAACUCUUGAUAUUCAUAUCGAUCUAUUAUGUACCUUUGCAUCUAGCAUUAGACAAUAACUGUCAUAGCUUUACCAUAUUUUUUUGUUUCAUUUCUUCUGAAACAAUAACACACACUUUUUUAUUAUGUGUCUAAUACUAGGAAUUCAAUACAUAAUCUUAGCAUUCAAUAGUUAUUCCUGAAUAAUUUCAUUUUUCAAUUGAUCAACCAUUUCAUUUUUCCAAGUUCAAUCAAUGUUAGUCACAUUAGUCAACAUUUAUAUAUUUUGAUGCAACAACAAUAUGUUAUUUGUAACAAGUGAUUUUGCUAGUUGGUUAAUUGGUCACAAGUUAAUGUUCGGUUCAGUUCAGCUUUUCUCUCGAUUUUUUGCGAUUCGGUUUUUUCGAUUCUCUUUAGAUUCGGUUCGAUUUUGUUUUUUUAUUUAUACUUAAUUUUUUUUAAUCUGAAAACACCAAGAACAACACAAGCAUACUCAAUCAAACAACUAUCCUUCUCCACAAAUCACAGUAAUAAUUACAUUCAUUUAGCUAAAAUGCAAAUAACUAACAAACUCACAAAAAUCGAAUAAAAACUACAAAUUGCUUACUCUUUUUCUUUGGGUUUCACUCGAAAAGUGUCGGUAAAAUUUAGGGUUUGCAAGAACGCAACCGAAAUCCAAAACGGAGGCUCUGUGGCUUGUGGGCUGCUAUUGAGUUCCAGUACGGAAAACCUUGCUUACUCUCUAUCACGGUACAAAGUAUCAGUACCUUUAGCACUGUAUUUGGUAGAACCAAAUUAAAAGCUAACAUCAAUAACAACUACCAGAGACAUAAGCUCUUAUCAAUGCUUUGGAAACAGUCAUGUAUCUCCAAGUGUAAUGAUAUAAUUAGUAAGAAAUUUAAAAGAAAAAUGGUGAUUUCAUAUAAAAUCAAUAAAAAGUUACAAUAUUGACAAUAUAUCAACAAUUUUUAUGGGGUAAAUUACAUAGGACCCCCUCAGGUUUGAGGUCUAUUACAACCCCAUACAACAUCUUUAAAAUAUUUCACUUUCAUACCUCACCUACUAUUUUAUUUCAAUAUAGUACCUCCAUUACAUUUUCCAUCAAUUGAUCCAUUAAGAGCUGAAUUGGUUGCCACAUUUGACACGCCCCGAUCCCGAUAUCCUCGGGAUAUCAGGAUGGUCACGUGCUGGCCGACACCCGAGGGUGACGAAAGCCAUUUAUUGAGUGCAAUUGCUGAAAAUAAAGGAUAGAUAAAACUUAUAAAUGUAAAAGAAUAAGGAAUAUGCAUUUAAGGAACGUGUUCAGAGCAUACAACUAACUAGAACACUAAAAGAAUGAUAUAAAAUGGAAUGAAUAAAAGAAUGAGUCUUACACCAAGAGGACUCGAAGAUGCCGAUGCGGAAGUACCUUGAUUGUCGGGAUUGUACGCCUCGAUCCUAAAUCCUGAAGGGGGCGCAAAACAAACAUGAGUGGACCAAGUUGAUAUAUAUAUAAUAAAACAGUUAUCAAUAUACUAACCCCCAGGUUUAUGAAAACAAAUAUAUAAUGAUGAACAUAGGUUUUCCGAAACCUAGCAUGAUGUGCAGUAUCUCAAAUCAUAACUCAUAUAUAAUAAUCACUAGUGAAUUGUCCGAUAACCUGCAGGCCCCAUGCCGGCUCCCCGUCUCUGAGCAGACAGUCAGAGGAAAAUACACUUCAGGCCCCAUGCCGGCUCCCCGUCCCUGUGCUAAAUAGCCAGAGGAAACACACUCCAGGCCCUAUGCCAACACCAAACCGUCGCCCGGGACGGACCGGAAUCUAUUCCUACGUCCCGUAGCGGAAAUGACCACUAGGUAAGUACAAAACCAUUGAACAUACAUAUAUUGAAAAACAACUUCAUAGUAUAAAGUCAUCCAUCAUCUAUACUAUAAAGAGGUGUUCGAAACAUGUUCUAAAUAUCAUAUCGUCAUCCAUCAGAUAUUCUAUAAGAACACGGGUUAUAGGAAAAAUAGUAAUAAUUCAAGGUAGCCUCAGUAAGCAUGUUAUCUCAAAACGUUUCAUAAAACGUAAUCAUUAAAUCAUGCAUUUCAUGUAUGCAUUUCUACUAUUAAAACAUGCUUUUGAAGGGGUCCACUCACAGUACUUAGCCGCCGAAGAGCCACGCAAACUAACGUCACCAAUAUUGCCCCUAAGCACAUAAAUGGUCCAAUUAAUAAAACUAUAUAAUAGCAAUUGGAUUUGGGAAAACGGACGUUGGAAACGGAUUCAGAACGUCGAAUUACCCUAAGAAGGGUCCCGGACGAAAACCCGAAAAGUCAACUCUAAAGUCAAUGUUGACCGGAGGUCAACGGUCAAAUUAGGUCUAACGGGUUUUAGGCUUGAAAUCCGGAUUAGGGUUUAGGUUAAAUAGGAUUAGGAUUUAUUGGGUUUUGGAAUUCUAAGGUUUUUGGGUUAAAAGGGUUUAGGGUGAAAAUGGGUGGUUUGGGCUUAAUCCCAAACUCACACACAACACACACACACACUACACAAACCCUAAAACACACACACACACACGGGCUGCACUAGGGCAGCCCUCACAACACUUCACAAAGGCCCUAAGGCCUUAUUAAAGGACAGGGCUUUAAGCCCUUUAAAGGAUACUGGCCCAAGGCCCGUCAAAAUAAGGCCCGAGGCCUUUGGGUUUUAAAAAGAACAAGAACAAAUUUAAAAGAAAAGGGGCUGGGGUCUACUGGGCUAAGAUAUAACGGGCUUAAGGCCCGUGGGGUUUUCUAAAGGGCCUGAGAGGCCUGGGUUUGUCGAAGGAGAAGGCCGGAAUUUCGGCCGGAAAACCACCCAACUUUAAAUGGCCAUAACUUUGUCAAUACUCAACGAAAUCAAGCAAGACAAAAAUGAAAGUUGUAGCCCUUGAAGCGACGAAGAGAAUGGUUCCUCACACGACGUCUAACUCGCCGUGGUUUGGCCGGAAAAUGCCUCGAAAUCCGUCGGACUCGCCGGAAACUGGGUAAGAUUCAAAUGAGUAUAACUUCUUCAAUACUCAACGAAAUUAAGUGAAACAAAAAGGAAAGUUGUAUUACUCGACGAGACGAAGAGAUUGAUACCUUACACGCCGGCCAACUCGCUGUGGUUUGGCCGGAAAUGGCCUCGAAAGGGGCGGUGCUCGCCGGAGCUUACUCCGUGCCGUCGAACUCGCAGGGUAGGGUCCGGGGUUCGUUGCAAGCCUCUCUUCGAUGGUGACUCGGUCCUAGUGAGUCCAGGGGAAGAGAGAGAUGCGAAAGGUUGAGGGAGAGAGAGACGGGAGAGCUGAGAAAGAGAGAGCUACGGGAGGGAGAAACGAAGAAGAAGAAGAGAGAGAUCAGAAAACAUAAAAAAAAUAAACAAGGUGGGCCCCACGGGCUCACCAAUUAAGGCUUUAAAACAAUUUUAAAAUAUAAAAGAGGGUUGGGGUGUUUCAACAUUUGUACCACGUGGCAAAAAAAAAACCUAAAUCUUCUAUACAAAAAAACUAAAAAAACCAAAAAAAGCAAAAUCGAACACUCCACCCCGCAAAAAUCCUAGCAUCUUCCUUUUAUUCCCCACAACCCCAAAUUCCCCCCCAAAACCCCUAAAACCCAAACCCUAAUUCCUCCCCCACAUGAAGAAAAUCCCAGUCCAAUUCAAUCCCAAUUACCUCAAAUCCCACCAUAGAAACCCUAAAUUUUGGUUCCUCAAUCCCUAGAUUUCCCACGCCUCUGUUGCCUACACCUUAUCAAUCUUUAGCUUUCUCCCUCAUCCCCUCCAUGAACGACACUUUCUCUCAUCCGCUGUUCCCCAGCAACGGCACCGAUACCUACGAGGCCUGGUACGGCAACAUCCAGUACCUUCUCAACAUCUCCGCCAUCGGCUCAUUCUUAUGUGUCUUCUUUUUCACCUUGGUCAAGCUUUGAAGCGAUCGCCGCCGCAUGCCCGGCUCGUCCUCCCUCGUUGCUAAGCUCUUCGCAGUGUGGUAUGCUACCUGUCGAGAGAUUAUGCUCCCAUGUGGCGCUGAGGCCAUAAUACUCACGCACCCAUCUACACACCCACACCACCACUACCGUGGACUCUCUCUCACUCUCCCUCGUCUUUGUAGAGCUAGGUGAAGCCUAGAAACCGAGAACUAGCUCCAGCAAACCCCGUGAGUUUCGAGCCAGAUCCCUGCCGACUCCGACCAUCCCAUGACCAAUCUAAGGUACAAAACAUUUCCCCUUGACUCUAUGCUCUUUUUCGUAUGUAGAUCGUAGGGAAAAGCCCACAGAAUGAGAGAGAAUAGUGACCUGAGAGAGUCCACGGUGAUGGUGGUGUGUAGAUGAGUGCGUGCGUGGGUGUACUGUCGGGGAUAGAGUCUGAGAGAGAUAGAGAGUGAAAGAGUCUGAGAGAAGAGUGACUUGCGAGAGUGAGAGAUUCGAGAGAGACUCGGGAAAAGAUUUAUGGGUUUGGGUUUUUCUGGUUUUUUAUUUUUAUAAUAAUAGGGUUAAUAUUAUAAUAUUUUUAAUGUAUAAAAAUUUCUUUUUUGCCACGUGGCAGCCACAUCAGCACAAAUGUGGUAGUUGUAGAUGCAAAUUUCUUCCUCUUGAUCUUGGACAAUUUUGCACCUACAAAACAAUUAACACCUUAGGUUAAGGCCAAAAGCCUCACACACCCACAAUGAAUGGGGGGCUUUGGCCGAAGAACCUCUGUUGCCAAAGUUAGAAUUUAGAGAGAAAGAGUCUUUACAGAAUUUUGGGAUUUUUGCCAAAGUGUUGGAAUGGCUUUCUGGUGAGAACGGGAUCACUUUUAUAAGGAUAGGAAGUGGUCGGCCUAGCUAGGGUUUUUGGGUUUAAUUUAGGUUUAAUUCUUCAAUUUAUUUGGCUAAUUAAACCCUAAAGAAUAAAUUGGUGGUUACAAAAUUGAUUAUUUGUAUAAAUGGGGUAAUAAAAUGGAGAAAAGUGAAAAAGGUUAGGAAAAGGGAGGUAGCUAGCUUCUUAGUAGUUUUAGGUGUGAGUGGGUGUUUUAAUUGAUAAUUAAGGGAUUGAUUAGGUAAUUAAUCCCUUAAUUAAACAAUUUUUAGGGAAUAUGAAAGGAAAUUAUUAUUUAGCUAAUUGAUUAGCUAAAUAAUGGAAUACAAAAUAUAUAGAAUAAAUUAGGCUUUAGGUAUUACCUUAUAGAAAUGAUUUGAUGAAAUAGGCUUUAAAUUGUUAACUAUUUUGGGCACUUUUGACUUGGUUGAGGAUGAUUGUCUGCCGCUCGCACGUAGGAAUCUCGAUAUGCCUUAAGGGUAUUUUUGUCCUCUUUUACCCAAAAAUCCACGUGUCGCCUUGUGAUUAUUUUUGGCUCCACAAAUGCCCCCACACCUGUUGGGCUGCUCGCAGAAAAUGGCAGCAGGUGUAGAGAUCAUCUUGCUUUAGGAAACGUAGGACUACUUCCUCUUUAGAUGUAGAUUCUCUCUUUAAUAGGAAAUUAGGUUCUUCUAGGAAAGGGAAAUAAAUUUCUGUUAAAGCCUAUUUAAGUCUACCUUAAGUGGGUUAUUAAAUCAACUUUGGAGAGCGAUUUCUUAUACCCUACAAGAGAGAGGGAGCUUAGAGAAUAUUUGUUCCCCCUCUUCUAGCAAUCUUCUACAUCUUUCCCGUGCAAAGGAUCGUCUUUCGUUGAUUUCUUCGUCUUCUCCGUGCCGCACCGAUGUAAGAAAAAUUUAAUUUUUUGCUUAUCUUCUUCUUGGAUAGUACUAUUACAGGGCAACCGUUAAGGUAGUGCGGCACGUCUACUGGCAGGGGCUAGGAGUUGGCUCGGCAUCGGUCGAUGAGGCAUUAUGGCAGGGGCCACUGCUUAGGCUGUUUGGCUUGGCUAGAGCCAAUGGCAGCUUGUGCGGCUGGGGUCGCGGAUUGUGGCGUUGGGGCGCAAUGCUAGGCGAGCCACAUGGUUAAUGUCCUUUAGGCUCUUAGACCUUACUCGGGCCAGGCUAGCGACUGAAAGAAAUGAGGAGGUCGUGGGCCUCAUGGGUUGUUGGAAUGUUGGGCAUGCAGGCCUCCUGUCUGCUAGAAUGCUAGGUUGAGCUCCUCUGCUGAGUACCGUGAAUGGCGUUGGCUGCUUAGUUCUUUUUACAGAGAGAAAGGUGGGCUGCUCCCGAAAGAGGAAGUAAAGAGGAUCAAGGUGGAUGCAUUGGCUCGUCUAAUCGCUGUCGUGGAACCUCCUAUGAAUGAAGAUGGAAAUAAGAGAUCUUCCCUGCCUACUCAAGAGAUGCCGAUCGAGAAAAAUUGAAGACUUUCUCCACUGCUGCUCAUGAUGAUUUGUCUGCUGUCGAUAGGCCUGUGAUUGGCAUGACUUCUUCCAAUGGGAAGAAAAAUGAGGCUGCUAGAUCUGAUCAUGUGGUGCCUUCCAUGUUGAGAAUUGCUAGUACAAUUGUUGAUAAGAUUGCUUAGCGCAAAGGUUUUAUCAUGCCCCCAGUACCGAAGUCUGUACCAGGACUUUCGUUUGGAGCAAAGUCUGGUUCACCUUUGGAGAUACUUGCUAUUAUGAAAAGUGGUAAGGUGGACUCUGCUGCUAAAGUGGCGUCAAGGCCCACUCCCUUUGUUGCUGAGACUGAUUCGCCUGCUAGGAAGGAAGAUACUACUUGUAUGGGCAGCUGUGAGAAAUCCACUAAACUUGCUUCUGGGGAGGCUGCUGAGAUCAUUGUGCUUUUGAAACUAUAUCUGCUUGAAGACAUGGACGCUUGUGCCAAGUUUGUUGAUGGCGGUAGAAAGGUUGUUUACCUAAGUUCCUUUGCGAAACAUACGACCCAAUAUAAAAUGACUGCUCUGCUUACUAGGAUGCAUAAAUAGCAAGGUUGUCAAGGAGGUGGCGAAGAUUAUGGCAGCUAAAGCUUAUUCCUCAGUCGAGGAGAUCAAAAGGUUGAAUUAUGAGCUUGUUGCUUUGAAAGAAAUGGAAGAACUGCAACACGUUCGUGUUAGUCUGUUUGAGAAGAAUGAGCAGCUAAACGGUAAGAAUGAUGGGCUUGAGGUUUCUCUAUUUUUCCGGAAGACUUGCUUACUUUUACUUUUGAGGCUUCCAUUGGUGAAGUAGUUGGAGACGUUAGUGCCCAGGCUUAGGCAACCGGGGGUGAAGCACCGGAUGAUGCCGCUGCUAAGAACGUUACGGCUGCUGAAGGUGUGGAGACCAAGUAGUCGUGGGAUGUCCAAGCUGCUGUAGUGUAGUAUUUUAGGUAGCUUUUAUGAUUUUCUUUGUUUUUCCUUGUAGCUCUUGUUUUGCUUGAACUUCUUCGGCCUUUGCUAGUUGUAUAAACAUGUUUUCCUUCGCUUUUCUUCAUCUUCGCUUCUUUUGUUCAUGCCCUAACCUUUAGACUUGAUAGACCAAUGGCAGGCAUGCUACUUUUUUAUAAGCAGACAAGCUCGCGUAGCCUAUGCAGCCGUAAAUGUUGGUGUAGAACUUUGCAAAGUUGUUAGCCAUUAGGUUGGUAACCAGAUACCUUACUUACAGAAGUAGACAAGUCCGCAUAACCACUAGGCUAUUAACCUUGACUUUCUCCAAUUCUGUAGGUUGCGUAGCAAGUAUCACAACACUUUAGGAAUUGGUAUAGGUUGCUCCGCACUUGGCAGAGGUGAAGCCUAUCGACUACGUAGCAUGUCGGCAGUGGAUAAAACUUCCAUAUAUGCGCGCUAGCUUGUUUAACCUUUCACAAGAAUGUGCGGUUGUAUAAGUCUAGCACGGUUUUACUGCUUGAAGGGCAAGCCGUAGGCAGUCUUCCGGAAUCCGUAGGCUACCUUAAUGUACUCGGUAGCAGCUUUAGGGUUCCAGGGCAGCCGUCUAUAGAGCGUACUGCGUAAUGUGCCCCAUCCGUCUCUAGCUCCCGGUUCCCCACAGAUUAGACCAAGAGACCCAAAAUCCUUCAGUUAGUUAAGCCUUGAAAAAGACCAUUGUGGCUACUUCUAGGAAUCCCGGCUCAAGCCAUCGUACAUCUAGUUAUACUAGGGUAGCCAGGCUCAUCAGCGUCUGGAUAUUCGGAGUGUAAAGUUUAUCCUCCCGUCUUAGAGAGCUGACCCAUAUGAGUGUCGGGGAAUUGGUUUACCCUCUCACACUAGAGAGUAAUUAAUUUACCCUCUCGCACUGGAGAGCAAUUAGUUUACCCUCUCGCACUGGAGAGCAUGGUUGGUCCAUCGGGGGGCGCAAUUCCUGCGAUGAGUCCCUAAGAAGGGCGCAGUCUUCUUUUGAAGUGCAGGAAUGAUUAGUUGUUAUAAGCAUGUGAUCGAGUCAAGUUGUGAUUACUUCUAAAUUCCUCAUUGAAAAACGAGUGAAACGAACGAGAACUUAGCCGUAAGGUAGGAACUGCAUAACAACUGGAUAGUCCUCAACUUGUGUGGUGGUACCCAUCGAGCUUCUUGAGUCUUCGGGCUUUGAUGUAGUGGGAGGUUACACAUGGCACCUUUUCAGAUUGUAGGCGCUCUACUGCUUUUCGAACUUUUUUUUUGUUGUGUAAUUGCUCUUGCUGCCUACUCGGCUAAUCUUAUACAGACUUUCUCGGAUGAGAUUCAUCUUUUUGGAGCUUCUCUGCUGGCAGUGAUGAAGGCUUUUCUUAGGACUAGAUCUCUGGGCUGGAACUGCCAGAUUUUGGCCUUUUUGUUGUGGCUGGAAAAGAACCACUGCUGGUAAGUUGUAAUGCAGAUGAUAGUCUGCUCGCACUUCUCCUCUGCCAAAUUUAAGCUUGUGGCCAUCUCCUUUCGGUUGCUCGUCUUUUGGUGUUGCGAUGUGCCCAUAGACAUCCAGGGAGUUUGUCUGGCCAUUUUCUUUUCUUAUUGGUAGGGGAUUUCUUGUGGCAGUCGAGGAUCAUCUUAGUGGAUGUUUUGGCCAGCCUAUUGCCUUGAGGAUAUCUUGGCGUAGACAUGUGCUGCUUGAUGCCAUAUUUUUAGAAGAAUUUCGCCAAAUCUUUGCCCACGAAUUACGGGCCGUUGUUGGUGACGAUGGAUUAAGGUAUGCCAAAUCGGCAAAUGAUGCUCUUUCAUAUGAAGCGCUCUAUGUCCGUUUGAAUUGUGAUCGUCAUGGGCUCUGCUUCUACCUAUUUGGUGAAAUAGUUGGUUGCCACGAUCAUCAUGCAUUUGCCCUUAGUAGUCUGGCUGGUGAUUAGCUGGGAAUCAGAAUGAAUUGAAAGCUUUUUCACCACCAAGUCUUUUGUCACUCGAAGGCCUGCUAGUGGGGCUUUGUACUCUGCUUCGUUGUUAGGUGCUUUGACGCUUAGAGUGAUCGCUUACUCGAGCAUUGAACCGUCUGGGGUGGCAAGAACCACGGUUACUUAUAAGCCUUUGUAGUUGGAUGCGCCGUCGACAUGCAAAUGCCAGAAAUUUCCAUUGAGGGAGUAGGUAUGGCUAAAGUGUGCUCGGCUACCUUCGAAGCGUCGUUGGGCCGCUUUGUUACAUUGUCAAGGCUAGGUUUGAAGGCGCGGUAGAGAGUCGUGGAGCUGGGGCCAUGUUACAUGUAGCAGGAGAUGCUCAACUUCCGGUAUUAGGCCACUCUAGAGCUGAAUAAUGGAGCAAAGGUCGGCUAGGGUCGUAUGACGCGCAGCAGAAGGUAGUGCUCGACUGCUAGUACAUGUUGCUCUUACGUAGAAUCUUCUGAGGCGACGAGGACAAAACUUGCUUUUAAGUGUUCCUUCUAGUGUUCGUCUGCCCUUGGCGUGUCUUUUGGGCUGAGUUGUUGCGUUCGUCAGAAAACUUUGCAUCUGCCAGGGUUUACGUCUUUAUCAUCACGGGUUUGGAUUAGGCGGAAUAGUGCGUCAUGAUGAUGACUGCGUACAUUUGAAGGUAAAACUUAAGCUUUUGGGUUACAACAACUAUCACCAAAGUUAGCUUUUGAAUUUUUAAUAGCAUCGAGGAGAGCUUUUGAACUAUAAAAUACAUGUAGUUGGGCCCCCAACUCUUCUCGCAUGACGGUACAGCUUAUUUCUACUUUAGAUACCGUCAAACAUGCGAAUAAGUCCUCUGCUGCUUCUAGGGAGGUGAUGUUGGGUACUUCUUCAAGCCCUUGAAUGUGCAUUGGCGAGCCUCAUCCCAAAGUGCAUGCUUCUCUGCCAAAGAAAAAGAGUCUACCAGAGUUAGAUAUUCUUUCAUGAUCAAUUUUCUAAAUAGCGGUGGUCUGCUGGAAGGCCUUUUUGGAAGGCUGCUCUAGCUAUUGAGUCGCUGCAUCCGACUAUCAUUGCCUUCUCUGUUUUGAAUCUCUUCACAUAGUCACGAAGUGACUCCUUUGGGUUCUUUUUUACGUCAAACAAAUGGUCGGACUUCUUUUUGAUCGAGCAAUAAGAUGAAUAUUCUUUGGUGAAAACCAAAGAAAGUUCGUAGAAAUUCUAGAUAGAUUGUGGCGGCAGGGUGUAGAACCAAUCUUGUGCCUCGCCUUCAUAGUGGUGGCGAAUAUCUUGCACAUGAGAUCAUCGUUGUUUCGAUAAAGGAUCAUUGUGCUUCGGUAGCGCUUUAAGUGUCUCUUCGGGUCUUCAUCCCCUUUGAAAGAUAUGAAAUGUUGCAUACUGAACUCGCAUGGAGGCUCUGCCAGCUCGAUCUCAUCCGUGAAGGGUGACCUGCUUAUGUUGGUCAUGUUCCGUCGUAGUGCCUCGUCGGUGACCUUGUUGCGUUAGAAAUCAUGCAAUCGCUUGAUUAAAAGUCUCUCUACUUCUUCCUGAAUUUUCAUUUGUUAGGGUAGCAGAGCUCUCGGCUGCCCCUAGCCAUAACUUACUGGUCUAGGAUGCUCUUCCAUGUGUUUGGCUCGUAUACCGUGGAUGCAGUGUAUGUGGUGCGGUCCUAGUAGGUGAGCGAGUUCUUCGCAGGCUGCUAGUUGAACUUGAGCUGGAUUGAGUGACUACUUCUCUCCGUCCGUCGUGCUGCCUACUCCAAUGUGAGGUGAAAGAUGCUCCUUGCAGGCUUAGCCACGAAUGAACACUUUACCUGGAAGGUUGCUCAUGUUGACUAUCAGAGUAUGACCCUAACCGUGAAUGUAUAUUCACCCGUGGGCUUAGUCGAGAGUGCACGCUCCUCCGCGCGCUAAGACGAGAGUAUACGUUAUCUCGGGAGCCCAAUUGGGAGUGUACACUGCCCGAACGCUCGGCUCGUGGCUGGUCGAGUGGCUGCUUGCCGAAACGCUGCGGGAAAGGUUCGUCUGCCCUUGUCCUACUUCGGGAUACCUUGUUUGGGGCACGUUGGAUUCUGGUGCAUUGCAAAAGUUGAUUCACCAAGGUUGUCUGUUGUGCAAGGGUGCUCGUAAACGCUACGACUUGUCGAGACAAGUGUUGUUCGUCAUUUGGAUUGGAAUAGCUUGGAAGGAAUGUGCCUUCUUGGGCAGUGGAAGGGUGGUAGACUCCGGGCUCGAGAUUUGAGUUGGGAAAUGUCAAAUCUACGAAAAAAUGUGGUGAGAAUGCCCCCGGCUCGAUGGUAGGUCCGGAUGGUUGAGAUAGUCUUGGGCCGACUUGGGCUGCUUGGAAAGCCACGGGAGCAGGCUGGGCCACGAGAGUGAGCUGCUCGGCAGGAGUAGGCUGGGCUACGAGAGUGGGCUGCUCGGCAGGAGCAAACUGCUUGGAGUGUGAUGCACAUGGGUGCGAGGCUUGGGCUCGGCUUGGUAACACAUUGAGUUCGGGUUUGGCUUGGAGUGACAUGACUUGGGCCGUGGCCUUGGUGUCGUGAGCCUUGGAUGGCACGGCUCGGGCAGUGGUAGCUGUGCCAUGGACCUCGCCGCGGGUAGUGGUGACCGUGAUGGCCACCGCGGUGGUUGCCAUGGUGGAGCCCCGUAGUGAUGGUGCCGCUCCUAUGAUCACAUUUAGCCUCGUGGAUCGUCGUGGUCCCAUUUCUUGAAUAUUAGAAUUUUCACUUAUGGAAUUUUCUAAAUUUCUAGCCAUUAUAUUUUUCUUAUACGUUUUAUCAAAGAACCUUUGCAAAUAAAAAAUUCUAAUAAUAAGAACGUAUGAAAAAAUAUUCAAAUGGACUAGAAAAUAGAGAAAAACCUUUUUAUGCGAGAGUCUUCUACGAGUAUAGAUCUCAACUCUCAAUGAAAGCACCAAUUUGUGGAUGCAAAUUUCUUCCUCCUUGAUCCUAGACAAUUUUGCACCUACAAAACAAUUAACACCUUAGGUUAAGGCCAAGAGCCUCACACGCCCACGAUGAAUGGGGGGGCUUUGGCCGAAGAACCUCUGAUGCCAAAGUUAGAAUUUAGAGAGAUAGAGUGUUCAGAGAAUUUUGAGAUUUUUGCCAAAGUGUUGGAAUGGAUUUUUGGUGAGAAUGGGAUCACUUUUAUAGGGAUAGGAAGUGGCCGGCCUAGCUAGGGUUUUUGGGUUUAAUUUAGGUUUAAUUAGUCAAUUUAUUUGGCUAAUUAAACCCUAAAGAAUAAAUUGGUGGUUACAAAAUUGAUUAUUUGUAUAAAUGGGGUAAUAAAAUGGAGAAAGGUGAAAAAGGUUAGGAAAAGGGAGGUGGCCGGCUUCUUAGUGGUUUUAGGUGUGAGUGGGUGUUUUAAUUGAUAAUUAAGGGAUUCAUUAGGUAAUUAAUCAAUUUUUAGGGAAUAUGAAAGGAAAAUAUUAUUUAGCUAAUUGAUUAGCUAAAUAAUGGAAUACAAAAUAUAUAGAACAAAUUAGGUAUUAGGAAUUACCUUAUAGAAAGGAUUUGAUGAAAUAAGCUUUAAAUUGUUACCUAUUUUGGGCACUUUUGACUUGGUUGAGGAUGAUUGUCUGCCGCUCACGCGUAGGAAUCUCGAUAUGCCUCAAGGGUAUUUUUGUUCUCUUUUACCCAAAAAUCCACGUGUCGCCUUGUGAUUAUUUUGGCUCCACAACAACCACGUCAGCAUUUAACAGACCAAUGGAUGGAAAAUCUAACGGAGGUAUUAUUUUGAAAUAAAAUAACAAGUGAGGUAUGAAAGUGAAAUGUUUUAAAGAUGUUGUAUGGGGUUGUAAUAGACCUCAAACUUGAGGGUCCUAUGUAAUUUACCUAUUUUUAUGUUAAUUAUGAAUAGGUCAAUCAUGUAGAACCAAAUUAAAAGCUAACAUCAAUAACAACUACCAGAGACAAAAGCUCUAAUCAAUGCUUCGGAAACAUAGUCUUGUAUCUCUAGGUGUAAUGAUAUAAUUUGUUGGAAACUUAAAAGAAAAUUGGUGAUUUUGUAUAUAAUCGAUAAAAAGUUAUAAUAGUGACAAUAUAUCAGUAAUAUUUAUGUUAAUUAGGAAUAGGUCAAUCAUGUAUUUAAUACUUACAUGCAUUUAAAAUAAACACCUUAUCAAUGUUUUUUUAACUGUGCUCAGUUUUUCUCCUUCGCUUUGGUUUUGUUCUAUUGGAUUUUUCAACUAUCAUUAAUUGUGAACAUAACUGAUCAUUGAGACACAAACAUCCAAGGGAGAGUACCGUGGAACAAAAUGUGGAUAUCUUUAUACAUUGUAUGGUAGUAAACCAUCAUAAACACCAUAAUAAUGUAGAAACGCUCUUGGGGUACCUUUGGAUGAUAACUCAUGUAUUUGUUGCCCUACGUAAAGAUGGCUAAUGAUAAUGGAAGUCUAAUUUUCUCAUCCCAAUCUCUCCUGUCUCUCUUGUUCUCUUUUCUCUAUAGUUUAUUUCCAACAAGUUGUGUUAUUUUUUUUUUUUAGUAUUGUUAAGCAACCAAUAGAUUUUAAUUAGCAGUCUUUGUUUUUUUCUUUUAUAUUUUUAAUCAAUUUCAGUUGCUUAUCCGUUCUAGCAAAUUGAGCUCUUUUACAGCAAUUUUUUUCUUUAAAUGAAAUUAUUAUUAUUAAAAGAGUGAGAAAAUUCGAAAUUAUUACAACAAUUUAAAAAAAAGAAGUUUCGAAUCAUAAACACAGAGGGAGUUUACAACAUUUUAAUUAAGAAAUUAGGCUUCAGCUCAACUCAUCUUUGCAACGUCGGUUCCACUUCACAUCAACAUGCAAUGUUUCAGAAGGUCACGCGGUUUUGGGGUUGUUGUGUACCAAUAAUAUUAUAUAUAUAUAAAUUAGGAUUGAAGGAUACACGCAUUUUGUAGAGCUUAUUUUGUUAUGUAUUUUAAUGAUUUAAAUGCUUACGUUUUUCUUCACUACAAAUGAGUGAAUUAAUGAUUUUAGAAUUUGUCUAAUUUUUUACAUUGAUUAUUUAUGAAUAUUGAAUUGAAAUAUAGACGAUUCAAAAAUCGUUGAUAUACAUUACAAAAUGAACUCCACAAAAUAAGCGUCAAAAUAUGUAUAUAAAAUGGACAGCGUGAAAGGCUUGGAAAUUGGAAUAGGUUUGAAAAUUGUGCUUUUUGUAGCAAAUUGUAGCAAAGUUUGCUUGGACUUUCACAACCGUAUAAAUUAUGCCGCAGCACUCUCUAUUUUCUCUCUCGCUCUAUAUCGUGGUCCCUCUCUCUCGCCGUCCUCGAUUGCUCGAACUCACUAUCCUUUAUUGCUCGAACUCACCGUCCUCAAUUGCUCGAACCCACUGUCCUUUAUUGCUCGAACUCACUGUCUCCAACUUCCUCUGUUUGGUUCCCGAUGAAGAUGGUAAAACAGUAGGGGCAAGAAAUUAUGACAAUGUUAGAUUUGCAUAUUAAUCUGGUAGGGCUACAAUUCUCCAAUCCACACCCCUUCCAUCUAUGCUAGUGUUUGUACCCAAUAUUAGAUAUCCGGUCUGUGCAAUCGAGAUCGUUGAAUGAGAAAAAUUCUAAGCCGUGGGAUCAAAUAUAAUGAUGUGGAUUAAAUAAGAAAAAUUUAAAUGUUUAUCUUGGUUGAAUUACCAUGAUAAUAUUGUGGAAUUAUCUUCUGCAUAACGGGAUAGCGAGAAAAGUCCAAGGGUGUAGGGAAGUUGUGUGGCUGACUACCGCUUUUUUUUAUGGUGUCAUUAGUAGAGUAAUAUCACACUUAACAUUUAUUUGUACCAUCUCUCUAAUAAAGAUAAAGACCAUCAAUGCAUAAAUAAUGAUACAAAUAUAUAAUAAGAGUAUCAUAUUUGUAACUAGAAUAGGAGAAGAAAGACUUCAAGAUGGGGUCAGCCAAAUAAUUAGCGUCAGGAUAAAAAUAUGAGUAAUGAUAUUUGUAAACAUCGAAAUUUCGGUAAAUAAAUGUUGACCGAUAAAUCAAAGUUUCAACGCUCAUGUAUUACAUAAAUUUUACACGUAGCGUAUGUCUAAACAAAAAAUCGAAAUAAGUUGGAAAAGUCAUCAAACAGGACACAUGUCAACACCUGGCAGAAACGACUUAUUUCAUCUGGAAUAUUAUAUUCAAAAUUAGGCAUUGGAAAAUUCUAUAAAUAGAAGCCAAUUUCAUUCAUUUGAAGGAACCAAAAUCAUUAGGCAAAAUUCUUGAAGCUCUGAAGCUCUGAAACUCCGAAACUCUCAAGCAUCCAGGUUCCCGAAGAAUCAAGAAAGCUCUCUUCGUUCUUCGUUCUUCGUUCAUCGUUCAUCCUAAGAUCAAGCUCCAACGGCCCUUUAGAUCAACAAUCAUCCACUAAUUCAAGAUCAAGCCCCGACGGCCCUUGAAGAAAGUGUUCUUCAUUCUUCGUUCAUCGUUCUUCCAAGAUCAAGCCCCAACGGCCCUUUGGAUUAACAAUCAUCCACCAAUUCAAGAUCAAGCCCCAACGGCCCUUGAAGAAAGUGUUCUUCGUUCUUCGUUCAUCGUUCUUCCAAGAUCAAGCCCCAACGGCCCUUUGGAUUAACAAUCAUCCACCAAUUCAAGAUCAAGCCCCAACGGCCCUUGAAGAAAGUGUUCUUCGUUCUUCGUUCAUCGUUCUUCCAAGAUCAAGCCCCGACGGCCCUUGGAUCAACAAUCCACCAAUUCAAGAUCAAGCCCCAAAGACCCUUGAAGAACUUCUACCAAUUCAAGAUCAAGCCCUGACGGCCCUUGAAGAAAGUGUUCAUUGUUCAUCAUCCGUUCAUCCCGAAGAAUCAAGAAAGCCUUAUUCGUUCUUCGUUCAUCGUUCUUCCAAGAUCAAGCCCCGACGGCCCUUGGGUCAACAUCAUCAACAAAUCCACACAUCCAACCGUUCUUCAAGAUCAAGCCCAAAAGCCCUUGAAGAUCCGUUCAUCACCGUUAUUCAAGAUCAAGCCUUAACGGCCCUUGAAGAAACACUCAUCCUCAAGAUCAAGCCCCAACGGCUCCUUGAAGAUCCGCUCAAAUCCACCUUCAAAGAUCAAGCCCACGGCCCCUUGAAGAAACAUCCAACAGUUCAUCCAAGAUCAAGCCUCGACGGCCCUUGGAUCAACGAAACAUCUACAAAUCAACACCUUACGGAGAUCGAAUCAGAUGAUCAAAUUAGAGAGAGAUUGUAACCCUAAAUCAUCAAAAUACAAAUAUUAUUUUGUGCACGUUGUUCUUAUCUCUUUCGUUUCAGGAAAUUUUCGUGUUCACAAUAUUCUUACCAUCUAAAUAUACUAUAAUUUUAUACCAUCUUAUGUGGCAAUUGAGAUGGACUUCCACAUAAGUUUUAAAAAAAUCUCAUGUCAGCUAAGGUGGAUAUUUACGAUUUUACGAUUUUACUCAAUGAUUUUUAUUAAUAAAAUAAUUAAAAAAUAAUAAUGAAACCUACUUGCUCCCGUUUUCAAGCCUCAUCGCUGGGCCUCCUCCCUCUUCGCUCUCCAAUUUCACCUUCCUUCACCAACGAUCGAUGGUGCUCGACCCCCUUCAUCAUUGCCAACUGGCCGAAUAUCUUGAUGGUGCUCCCAGUGAUUGUUUUGCUCUGCCACCAAAUCAAGUUUGCAAUUUUAAUGGUUUAUGCCUUCUGGCCAAGUGUUGGAUUUGAUAGGUUUUUAAUUCCAGCAACAUUGAACAAAAAUAUGAAAAGGAUUGGAUACGAUAUUUUCCUCUGUUCUACUGCUGAGGAUUUUCCGAAUAGAAGAAGAUUUGGAAGACAACCUCUUUUCUUUUUUCUUCAUGGACUUUUGGUUAGCACCAAAAUCUUUUCCUAAUCCUCUAUAGGAAUGAAAAUUUCAUUCCAUGUUAUAUCCCGAUGUUGUCCAAGGUUUUGGCUUGAAUUUUCAUUGGAAUUAUCAUAUGUUGGAUCAGAUCAGGUGGAGAGAUGAAACGUAUCUAACAAGGAAGUUGAACGGGUAGGGUUUGAGCAAAAAUAAACAGAAAUUCCACCUAGGUUGACACCUAAGCUUCCACAUCAUGUGGUAUACUAAAUGUGGUAUAAUAAGAUGGUAAGAAUAGCAUUAUUGAAUGGGUAAUGUUAAGAGAAAUUUUUAGUUGUGACGGGAACACGGAUGGUACACCAUGCGUUUUUAUGUAAAUGGUGGAAAAUUUUAAUUUUUAAAUUAUUAACCUUUUAGCACACAUAUCCCACCAUUUAUAUGAAAACACGUGAUGUAUCACCUCGUGUGAUAGUCACAUUGAAAAAUCUCUCGUAAUGUUAGGAAAACUAAAUUUAUAAACAAAAGUUACAAAUUAAAUGAUGGGUUACCAAUAAGAAUGAUUACGUUUAUCAAUGCUUAAAUAAUAAAUCAUUCAUCAACUUCCAGUCCUUUAGUUUUUAAAAUUUUGUCUAACAUUACCCUUUCAAAACUCAUGAAAAUAAUUUUCAAUUUUUUUAACUGAAAAGUGAAAGUUACUAAACAAGAUUUCAGUUUUUAGCUUUCAAAAAAAUAAAAACAAAAGCUAAAAAUAAAAUGGUUAUCAAACAUCCCUAGAAGUCAUUCUUAGUGAUAGUAAGGUCAUCUCCAACCGAAAGAUCCAGGGGGCUAGAGGGCCGAAAAUAGUCUGAAAACCAUUUCCAAUCAAAGGCCAUGCCAAAGGGGUCGUGGACCCCAUUAGACAAAAAAGGGCCAAAGGGCCAACUGGCUGGCCCCAGUUCCAACAAUAACUAGAUGACGUCAGUUAACCGUUAUUUUUGAAUUUUUUUUUUAACAAAUUUUAACUUUCUAAGCCAUUAAACAACAUUAAAUUAAGUAAAAAAGAAAAUUCCUAUAACUUCCUAAGUCAUUAAACAAUAUUAAAUUAAGUAACAUGAAACAACAUUAAACAAUAUUAAACAAAAUUAAACAAUAUUAAACAACAUUAAAUAACAUUUAACAACAUAAAAAUUAUACAACAUAAAAAAAAACAUUUAAGAACAUAAAAUUUAAAUGCCUACUUCAUGCUUCUUUUGGCCCAAAGAUGUGCAACAAGAUCCUAAUGUAGGUACUUGUUUGUGGCACGAGAGCGUAUCAUCCUAACCGUUAGAUUUGAUUUUUUUUUGUUUUCGGCCAAAUUUUUUUAAAUUUAAAAAUAAAUUAUGUUUGACCUUUUGGCCCUCGAUUGGAGAUAGUUUUUUUUGUGACAUGACUAUGUUUAGCCCUAUGACCCUUUGGCCCUCAGUUAGAGAUGGUAAGAAAUAUGACCCAACAAUGUUCAUUAAAAUAUUAAUUUCUUGAAGAGCCAGAGGGCUAAAACGAGCCAUCCUUCGGUUGGAGAUGGCCUAAGAAGAGACUAGAGAUAGAGAGAUUCCUAUACUUAGCUGUGAGAGUUUCCUAUAUAUGAUUUUCAUUAACAAGAUUGAACUGAUUACAUAGAGAAGAAGAUCAAGUAUGGUUAUUUUUAUUUGGGAGACUUUGGAUGUGGUCCUUAGUUAUGAAUAUUAUUUGAUUGAAAUCUUGUUGGUUUUUAAUUUUUUAUCAAGAUCCCUGAAAUUAAUGUGAUAAUUUAUUUCUAUGUAAGUUACUAUAUUUUUUUAAUUAGAAAUUAGAAAUUUUAGUUGUUUAUAUAAAUGAGAUUUUAAAUUAAAAAAACCAUAAUUUGUGGGAUUAAAAAUAUUAAAAUAUAAAUAUACUAUUGUGUGUGUGUGUGUGUGUGUGUGUGUAUAAAUAUGGGUACAUUCAUCAAAAUUAACCAAAAAAUUUAUUGUAUCAAAACAUGGGUACAUUCUUCAAAAUCACAAAAAAAGAAAGAUAUUAGGCUUAAUAACAUUAGUAAAUUUCUUCGAUUAAACUUGACAUGGAUACAUUUUAAAAUCAAAGAAAAAAAAUGUACCCAUAUAAGUUUAAAAAUGGAUUAGAAAAAAAAAUUGAAUAGAUUUUAUACAAAAAAAGGGUACGUUUUACAUAUAACAAAUUGGUAUAUUUAAGAAUGAGUACAUUUUAAGAUUAAAAAGUUUUACAUGAAUGGGUUCAUAUAAUUAGCAUGGGUACAUUUAGCAAAAUAAAAAGUACAAAUACAAAAAAAUAUAUGUGUACAAAUACAAAUAAACUUUAAAAAAUAUGGGCACAAAAAGAAAUUAAUAUAUGGGUACAAAUUAAAACCGAAAAGAAAAUUGGUACAAGUUAAAAAAGAAUUACAAAUUAAAAAUGGGUACAAACUAAAACUAAAAAUAUAUGAUAAAAAAUUUAGUCAUAAAUAUAAAUAUACUAAUUGUAACAUUUUUAACAUUAAAUGAAUAUAUUUAGACAUAAAAAAUAUAUUUUAUUAUUGAAAUAAUUAAUGAUGUUAUUAAUACCCAAGGACCUUGAUAAAAAAUUGAAAAGAAAUAGAAUUUUAAUCAAUGGAGUAGCAAAAGAAAAGAUGAGAACCUAAUUUCUCCUUUGUAUUGUGUAGACAUUAUAACUAUACAUUCAUAAUAACAUGAGUAAUGUUAUAUUUAUCACAUUUGUACUCUUUCUCCAAUAAAGAUAGGGUCCAUCAACACAUGUGGGUUCUAUUUGCCCAUCAACACAUGCGAAUCUCAUUUUUAUUAGAAAAAUAGUACAAAUAUGAUAUGGAAAUUAUGAUAAGAUCGCAAUUUUGUAAUAACAUAUAUACUCAACUAUUUAUAUACCAACUCAUCUCCCUUUAGUGUAGUUAAUAUUGUUUGUUCAACCAAAAAAAAAAAAACUGAACUUGUCAUAAUCAUUGAAUCCAUUUACCAUGAACAAACGGCAGUUUACUAAACUUGCCCUCAGAGUAUAUAUAAAAGGUGAAUCACAAUCUAUUGCAUUAAUAUAAGGAAACAAUUUAUAGGGUUUGACGGGUGACUUAAUAUGCUAUAUGGCACAAUGAAAAUUAAGUUCACACUUUAUCCCAAAUAAGGUGUUGCACCUUUAAUUUAUGGAUGCUGGUUUGACGUGUGACCGAAAUAAUCAAAUUGUAGCCAUUAAUCAUUUUACAAGUAAUAAUAUGUGGUUUUAUUGUUUACGAUUCACACAACAAUCUGCUAGGAAGUAGAAAAUGCAGUACUUGUCCCUCUCACAGAAGUCAUGAAUAAUUAUCAAAUUCAAAGAUAAAGAAAAACCACACAAUUUACAAGAGGAAAGAAAAUGAAGGGAUAAAGAAAGUAAGAAAGGAAUACCUCUAUGGGAGGACUCUUAUUUGCUUCAGAUGCCUACAAUAUUCAUCAUAUAAACACUGAUUAAGUAGUCAUCGAAAACCAAAACAAAUGUCGAACAUAGGGUGAAAAACAGAAAGAAUAACCGCAGCUCAUCAUACCAAUAGAGAUAGAACUGCCCGAUGCCCAAGUAUGACUGAAAAAUGGCAAUCCAAACAUGGCGCCUUCUAGCUCAUCAAACUGUCAAAACCUAGGUUCCACCAAAAAGAUACAAGUCACCUAGUUACUUGUAAAAUAAAAAUCUGUUUCAAAAUAGUGGAAAAUAUUAUUAACAUUGUUCAAAGUCCACAUUGUUGUACCUACCAAGAAACAAGAAGGAUUGUAUCUUAUCAUGAAAAAGAACAUAGGUACCUUUUCAAUUGUAAUUGUACAAAAAUGAGAGACCACUUCCGAACUUCUCUUGGAACUUCAAUCAAUUUCUGCCCACUUUUAAAUGCCUUGACAUACUUAAGCCUAUUUCUUUGAGCUUCAGUUUUGGCUUCUGAUGCCUUUAAAUUUCUUAAAGAUUCUUACCAAGUUUUACAAACUCACUUCUAUACAACCAUUUGUCAGUAUACAUACCAUUUUCUUUGAGCUUCAGUCUUUGCAACACCAAAACCCCCCAAAUAGACCCGGAAUUUUGCAAUGUGCAGGGAAUAUACAAAAAAAACCCUCCUAUCCAUCUAAAACGAAAUCAGAACGCAAACCACAAUCAAAAUCCGUAAAAUUAAUUUAGCCAACCCCUAAAUCUAAUAAUUCUAACAAAUAUUAUAGUAUCAAUUGAGAGAGAAUUUGAGAAGAUACCUAGAGAUGAAAGGAAGAGCGUUUCCUCUGAUAGGGGUUCCGUGAAAGCAUCUGUUGACCAGAAAAGAAAAGGCAAAAAACCCCAAAUUACAUAUCAAGCAAUUAUAGAUAGAUCGAACCUUGAAAAUUGAAAUUUCAAACAAGAGAAAGGUUAUAAACUUACAACGAUCUGGGUGUUGGUAACUGGGUUUGGAUUUGGGUUUCUGAUAAGAGAGAGAAUCGUAUGAGGAACCGAUAGAGGAACUGCACCGGCAACAGAGAGCAAUUGAUAUGGUGGAGAACAGACGAGAAUAGCUGCUUGGAUGGUCAAUCCAAGAAGAGAAAAUCUUGCCACAAUCGCGGUACUUGAAAAAAAAAAAAACAAGUUUAAAGGAGGGAAACAAUCGCGCCUUUUUCUAAUAGACUCUGUCGACGAUAUUCUUGACAAAUAGAUGCUUCGUCGGGUGAGCUUAUUUUUCACAACAUUUUAUUUAGGAUUGGGUUCGGUUGGUAAACCGUGUCAAAUUUCUUGUGCCACUUGCCAGCCACAUAUACAUAAUUACCGAAAAUCAGUUACCGUUAGCCAACCGUCUUCUUGCGGUUGCCAAAAAUCGGUUCAGCCAAAAUGAUUGGCUGGUUCGGUUGGUAAAUGGCACAACCGGUGGUUUCCACUUCUUCCUCGCUAUCUUCCAGUUCCAAGGGCUCAAUUUGAUUUUCAGAUUGGGAUGCUUGUUCGGUUGCAUUGUGUGGUUCAUUUUGGGUUAAUCCAUGUUGUGCACUAGUAGUUGAUUGGCUAGACUCCAUUAUCCUAAACAUAAGCAACAAAUAUACAUUCAAAAUAAUAUAUAUGUACGUGUAUAUAUAGUAUCAGUAAUCAUCAUGCUAUCAAUUUUGUUAACAAUAUUUUCUAUAUAUUGAUUUUGGCAUGAAUCAUAUACACAUACAUAUAUUUUUAAAACCCUAAAACUAAGGAGUCAUUUAUUUUCUAAACUCUAAAAUUGAGGAGUCAAGCAUGUAAAAAAAUACUUAAAAUAUCUAAAUAGAAAAAGAAAAAGAAAAAAAAAUAAAUAUAUAUAUAUAUCGGUAGGUAUGGCAUACCGCCGGCAUACAAAAUCAAUUACCAAAGCCAUGCCAUUAAUUGUCGGUUCGGUAAAAUGCCAACCGAUUAUGAAAAAAUGUCAAAACUAUACCAUACCAUUUUGAGCCAACCAGUAUGGUUUGGUCAGUAAAUCGGUUUAUGGCAAAAUUUCUCACCCCUAAUUUUAUUUGUCACCUUAAACCUAUUGGUUUCUAGCCUACAAUUCGGAUAUUUUGUUGGGGAAAGAUUUUUGUACCAAUAAAAUUUUGCUUUGUCGGCAAAAUGACAUUUUCUAGUAGUUAUAAUAUUAGGUAGAUCAAAUUUGUAAACUAUGUGAUGUGUCACUAAUAGGAAAAAAUUUCAGUGUGCUGAAAAUACGGUCUAGAACACCAAGUGUCAUAAUAUAUACUUGGUUGGAAAUCUUUUAUUUUCAAGUUUCCAACUAGUUGUAUUGUAACAGUUGGUGUUCCAAGCUAUUUUCUCCAUGCGCUGGAAAAUCUCUUCACUAAUUAAAAAUAAACAUAUUAAUUAACACUUAAGUAAUAAUCAAAGCAUCAACAACUACGUCAUAGAAUUUACGAAAUAUGAUCUUAAUUAAUGAUCUCCAUUACCCUUUAUCUUAGCGUAUACGUACGCCUUCACAUGUUUAUUUGCUGAUAUGCAGCUUGAGUAAAAAUUUCUUUUUAAGAACAUAUAUGUGAAUAUAAACAUAUAUAUCUAGUGAUCCAUGUUGCGUUAUUUAAAAAUAAACAAAUUAAUUAAUUAAUGAACUGUGUACCUGUCUGUGUAGAGUAAUCCAUAUGCAUGCUUGAAUCCUGAUCACCACGAAACCAUAAUAUAAGCUACUCAAGGCCCGGAAGCUAGGAUUGAAGAGAAAAACACCCAGUCAGAUUAAGCCAAUACAUCAAAGUUAAUACUUCCAAAUGUAAGCUUUAAGAUAGAAAAAUCACUUACUUCCUUGAGCAGUCGAGCUUCUUCAAUGGCAUGAAGCUUUUAGCAUGAGAUUGACUGCAUCACAACUAAAAUUUUCUCUUGGAAACUACAUAAGGAAUAGCAUGUAUACCUAUAACGUUGAGAAAGUACGCCAAUUUUUUCCUUCUGCACAUUCAUGUUUAAAAGUAAUCCUCAAAUGAACUUGCCCACAAUGAAAUGCAAUUUGAGGUAGUCGAGUGUGUUCCAUUUCCAUCCCAUCGGAAUUACUACUAAACUUUGAGAUGGUAGAGGAUUCAUGAAAUUUUUUACUUUUGAAAUAGUCUCCUUAGCAUUUCUCGACUAUAACAAUGAGGAAAUACUUCACCUUGUAUCAAACAAGGGAGACCGAAAAUCAACUACUAAUAGCAUCACAGAGCCAGCAGAAGAUUGAGGAGGCCAUGAAAAGGAAAGAGAAAAUACACUCUUUUUUUGUAAGGACAGAGAUAAUACAUUCAAUAAAGGGUACUGAUGUUUAUAUGCAAAGCUGAUUAGGUUUAAAUAGUCGUAUUUAUUCUGUACAGUGCCAAUAUUACCACCCGUUAGUACACUUUCAAGACACUGUAAUCCAGUGUAUGCACUAUGCAGUACGUAGUACUCCUCAUUUUUUUGGGGAAAUUCAUUAUUGGUCUUCAUAUCUUCUUUAUUUUCCUUGUCCUCAUUGUGCCACGUGUUUAAAUCACUAAUUAUAGGUAAUCUUUCAAUUUAAUUAAAUCUUAUGUAAAAAAAGAUAAUUAAAUAUCAUUUAGUAUUACAAUAUAGUGAUAUUCCUCUUUAGUAUAAAAUUUUUAUAAUUAAAAGCGUUCAGCUUUUUAAUCUUCAUUGGAAUAUUAUCUAUAAAGAAAAAUUAUUCGAAUCAGAGAUCAUUUAUGCAUUCAAAUGUAUAAAAUACAUCGACAGUGUGAGAACCAACUAAUAUAUUUUUGAUGAAGUACAAUUAUUGAAUACAUUUGAACGAUCAAAUGAUAUAUGAUUCAAAAUACAUAUUAAGAUAAUAAAUAUAAAAGAAUUGUUAUUUGCACUUCAAGAAUCUCAUUCUACACUCUAAAUUUUCUAUAUAUUAAAAGAAAAAUAAAUUUGUGAAAAGUGUAGAAUGAGGUUUUUUUAAAUGCUAAUAACACUUCUCUAAAUACAAUUAUGAAAUUAAUUAAGUAAAGAUACAUGACCUCGUGAAUGAUGAAUGUAUUAUUCAAAAAAAUAUUAAAAACAAAUUGAAAAAGGACGCUGUUGUUGCCACCACUUAUGCAAUGAUCGUCGCUGCCAUCACCAACCCCCAACACCCCAUUACAGCUCAUAAAAGCACAUCAUAAGCAAUUUAUGAAAUAAAUUUACUGGAAUACUAAUUUCCCCCUUAGUUUAGGUCACCAAUGUUUAAAUUUAGGGAUCGUGAUAUCCACACACAUUUUUUACUUCUUUCACACUUUUUUUUUCGGUUGUCGGAUCAGAUGAAUUGAAGAAAAUCAAUGAACAGAAAUUAACAAGGGGUGUGUGAGAAGUAAAAAUGAAUGUGUGGAUAACACACCCCUAAAUUUAUCACAACUUUCAUUCCAAAUUUAAUUUUUAUCCGUAGUUUUGUUUGUUCAAAUUUACUUUGACAUUUCCAUUAGUAUUAAAAUCUAAUUUAAAUUUUAGUGUUCAAGCUAGAAAAAGUGUUCCAUUUAAUAUUUAAUCUCAGUUUUUCUCUUUAUUCUUUUAUUGGGAUUUGGUUGCAUCGUAUCUCCAUUUUUCUCGGUGUUGUAUGUUCAUAAGGCCUGUGAAACGUUGGCACGGAGUGAAGGGUACUCACUUUUUGGCCCAAAAUGCAUAAGGCAUGUAGAUAUGUUAAUCAAAUUUUGUAAACUAAAGGAUAUAGAAGUUGAUAAUUAGAUUAUAAUUUAAGAUAAUACUAAGGAGACUAAAUUUGCAAACUAAAUGAUGUGUCACCAAUAAAAAUAAGCACGUUUAUCAACAAUUAAGUAAUAAAUCAAUCAUCAACUUUCAUGUCCUUUAGUUUCCAAGAUUUAAUAUACAAAUUUAGUCUCCCAAGCAUUACUCUAUUACUUAAGUAUUGAUUAACAGACUUAUUUCUUAUGGUGACACAUUAUUUAGUUUACAAUUUUAGUCUACCCAACAUUACUCUUUUGAAAUUGUCUUGUCCACUGAUAUAAUUCUAUUUUUCUUGUGAUCAAAACUUCAAAUGUUAGCAAGUCGCACGUAAAGUCGCUUAUGAGAGAAUGUGCUCACAUUGUAGUUGAAAGAUUAUGUGGCUAGCAACAUUACAAAUUUAAUUUGGUAUAAUUCUAAAAUAUAGAUUGAGGAAAAAAUGAUCACAUUAACUAGAAACUGAAAAGGUUUCAGCACAGUUUGUUCAAGCAAGAAAUUCAAUUUUGAUGCUACCGAUCUUAACAGCCUGAGCGCCGUACCUGGGCACCAAAGUCACCACCACACUCUCAUCAUCUUCAGCACCCAAAUCCUCCAACAGGUCCGUUAACCCCAACCUUAAACAACUCUUGCUCUUUUCCUUCUGCUUAUGUGGCACACUCACAAAACUCCCAGCAAACUCGCUCUUGUCGGGUCCACUCGGUGCCGCAUCCUCAUCGUCCACGUCAUUCACAUACACACAUCAAACUUCACAGCCACAUCUUUGUCAAGCUCAAUCCCCUGAAUCACCAAUAUCUCCUCCUCAUCCUCUUUCUCCUUCUUGCUCCUCUUCUUCGGCUUCGGCCUUGACACCACCGUACUUAUCUUCGUCUCCAAAUUUAUU
rnacentral:lncRNA from 1 species